rnacentral:lncRNA from 1 species
CAAAUUUAUUGUACUUUUGGCUCUCUCUCAAAAUGGGUUGCUUCUUUCAAAUUUUUGGAUGUCGAAACCAAAUGGGGAGGUUCCUUUUCAUAGCCAAAAUUGGCUAGUAAAAUAUUAUUCUUUUCUUGUCGAAAUUUGCUGCAGUACCACCAUCAUAUUUCUUACAUUUCGGCUUCUUCAAUGUCAAAGUCAUGUGCCACCAAUUUUGCUUCUUUAAAGUUGCUGCAGCCCUAUUUGAUUUUUCUUUAUUUAAAAAGAGUUGCUUUUAGAAUUUGGCAGCCAUUUUAUUGACAUUCUCCCACUUGGAGAUUUGAUUGAGAACCAAUCAAUCUCGAUACCAUUCUUUUUGCUUCGCCAUUGUCAUGUUGCUUACGUUUCUGCUAGGCCACACAAGGAUCUACUCCAUACAAACUUGUCAAUAUUGAUUGGCUUGAUCAUAACAUCUGCUAGAUUUUUCUUUGUAUAGAUUUUCGGCAAAUCCACACUUCUGUCUUCUAUUACUUCUCGAACGAAGUGGUAUUGAACUCCUAUGUGCUUUGUUCUGGAAUAAAAGACUAGAUUUCUUGCAAUGUGCAAGAUACUCCGACUGUCACAAAACAAAGAAAUUUUCUUUUGUAUGUGCCCGAGCUACUUCAUUAACUUUUGUAUCCAAAUAUCUUUCUUUCAAACUUGUGUAGUUGUCAUGUAUUCUGUUUCUUUUGUAGAUAAAGCCAUAAAUGGUCUGUAAUUUUGAAACCUAGCUUACAGCUCCUCUUGCAAAUGUAAACGCAUAGCUAGUAAUGGAUUUAUUUUUAUCAAGGUCUCCUGUAAAAUCUGAAUCCACAUAGCCCCUAACAAUAAAUUCUAAUCUUCCAUAACAUAAUGCAAAAUUUAAGGUUCCUCUGAUGUAUCUCAAAAUCCUCUUCACAGUUUGCCAAUGUUCUCCAUUAAGAUUCGCCAUGUAUCGACUGACUGCUCGUAUUGCUUAUAUAAUAUUCGUUCUAGUACAUAUUAUAACGAACAUUAAACUUCCCAUUAUUGAUGCAUACGGUACUCGAGACAUCUUUUUUCCCUCUGUUUCAUUGUUAGAACACAUAUUUAAGGAUAAAAUUAACAGGAAAUGGGGUAGAAAUUGGCUUACAAUUUUGUAUGUUCAAGCGCAUCAAGAUUUUCUUCAAGGAGUUCUUCUGAGAAAGCCAAAUCUUCCUGUUAUUUUUGUCUCGAUGAAUUUACAUCCCUAGGAUCUUGUUUGCUGGUCCCAACUCCUUCAUUUCAAAUUCCUUAGCCAAUUGUGCCUUCAAUUAUUAGACUCGACUUUGUUAGGGGCUGCUCCCAACAUGUUAUCCGUACACAACAGCAAAAUGAUAAAAUCAUUAUCUUCAAACUUCUUGUAAUAUGCAUAAUAGUUUGAACUGAGUCUGUUGUAUUCAAUACUCAUAAUGAAGGAAUCAAAUCUCAUAUACCAACACCUUAGCGCCUGUUUGAAACCGUAUAGAGAUUUGUUCAAUCGACAAACCAAGUUCUCUUUGCAUGUUUCAGCAAAACUUUCUGGUUGGAGCAUAUAAAUUUCUUCCUCAAGUUUUUCAUGAAAAAAUGUAGUUUUCACAUUUUCACAUUUUCACAUUUAACCGCUCUAGAUGUAGGUCAAAUGUAGCACACAUUGCUAGGAAUACUCUGACUUUCGUGAGUCGAACCACCGUAUAAAAUAUUUCAUUGAAGUCAAUACAUUCUUUCUGAACAUAACCUUUUACUACCAAUCUUUCACGAUAUCGCUCCACUUAUUCAUUGCCAUAACUCUUGAUCUUGUUGACCCAUUUAUUACCAAUUGAUUUUUUUUUUAUAUGGCUGUGGUACAAGUUCUCAUGUCUUAUUCUUGUGUAAAGCUUCAAUUUCUUCUUGCAUUACUAUCAUCCACAAAGUAACAUCUGAGCUGCUUAAAGUUUCAUAGAAAGUUGAUGGCUUUCCAUCCUCUAUUAGAAAACAAUAUGCAACAUUGAUCUUUGUGACAUCAUCCAAGUGCCACACUGGUAGUCAGCCCUCACGAGUUGACUGAUGAACUUCUAGGGUUUCGGACUGGACUGGACUGAUACUUACUCUUCGUGCUUUGAUGCUAUUUCAGAAGAAUUUGAAUAUUCUGUUUUUAGAUCAUUUUCAACAUAUACCGACAAUCUCUGACCUUUUUUUUACAGUGCUAUCAUCAUUAUCUCUAUUUUGCAAUUAAUCUUCUACAAAAAUAACAUUUAUGCUGAUACGAUCUUGUAGGCCGUGGGGUCUCACAAACGAUACCCAUUUGCUCCAUCAACAUAUCGUAAGAAAAUACACCUCUUGAAUUUUAGAUCUAACUUUGGUCUUUCUUGCGUAUUGUACAUCACACACACACACACACACAAGACAUCCAAAUGCAUGUAGAUGAGAGUAAUCAGCUAGUUUUUCAGUCUAUAUUUCCAUUGGUGUCUUCAACUCAAUUGCUGUUAAUGAAGACCAAUUAACCACGUAAUAAAAAGUUUUGGUUGUUUAUGUCCAGAAUGAGUUGGGUAGACUAGUAGUCCUCAACAUAACUCUUAUUCUUUCUGUAAGAGUCUUAUUCAUCCGGUCUGUCACUUCAUUCUGCUGGGGAGUAUAUGCUACCGUGAACUGUCUUUGAAUACCUUAUUGCUAAUAGAAAACAAGAAACUCGCCGUCUAUAUACUCUCCACUAUUAUCUAUGCUUAAGCACUUUAUCACUUUAUCAGAAUAAACCAAGUCUGAAAUGCAUUUACUUAUGGUAACAAAUUUACUAAACUUCAAACUAUACUGCUUACUUGUAACACAAUGCUAAUGAACUGGUAAGUUCACCGAUUUGAGCCCCAUAAAUAACUUUCGCUCAGAGAGAAUCUUCAAAUCUUGUUCCGACAUGUGGCCAAGUUUUAAGUGCCACAUCAUCACUGAUUCUUCUUUAUUUGACGCGACACACGCAUCAACUUCCUGUAAUGUUUCCCUUUUAAGCAUGAAUAAAUUAGCUUCGAUCUUUUCCGCCUUCAAUAAUACAAGCGCGCCUCUAGCAAUCUUAAUUAUCUCAUUUUCAACAUGGAUUUUACACCCAAGCACAAGAAGGACACCAAAAAAUUACGUGAUUGGGUUUUUAGUCUAUGUUCACGAGCGAAAACAGAAAGAAAAUUUUUACUAGUGAAAUGAGGAUUACAAGUAUUGUAAUAUUUUUUUUGCUCACUACCCAGAACAUGAAUACACCAAUUCUCUCACUUACUAAUUACUUGAGAGCUUUAUAAUUUUUAUGCUCUUAAAAUUCUUAUGCUUUUAGCUCUCUCUCAAAAUGGGAUUGCUUCUUUUAAAUUUUUGGAUGCCGAAACCAAAUGAGGAGCUUCCUUUUAUAGCCAAAAUUGGCUAUUAAAGUAUUAUUUUUCUUGUUAAAUUUUACUGCAGCACCAUCAUUUUUCUUACAUUUAGGCUUCUUUUAAGCCGAAAUGUAAAAGCCGUGUGCCACCAAUUUUGCUUCUUUUAAGUUGUUGGAGCCCUCUUUGAUUUUUUUUUUUUUUUGUCCAAAAAGAGCUACUUCUAGAAUUUGGCAGCCACUUUUCUUGACAUAUGAUUUAUUGGCUAACUUCAACCCAUACCUUACAUCAUAAGGUCGUAGUUUAGAGUUGCUUUUUUAUUAUGUAAUUAUUCUUAAUUAACGUAUUGAGCUAUUUUUACUUAAAAUGUUGACAAUAACGAUAAAAAUGGUAAUUAACAAAUAUAGUUAUUUCUUCCAUAAAUAUUAAUAUGUUUUAUUUAAUGUGAAUAUUCAUAUUUUAUUUUAGUGUUUUACAAUUGAGUAUCCAUAAGAUGACUAUAAAUUGAGAGCAAAAUAAUUUCAUAUAAAUUAAUUAAGUACUCUUUAUAUUUCUUAAAGUAAAUACUUUAGCAGGCCAAUUAGAUACCAAGUAAUGAAACGAUAGAUUGGAGUUUGAAUUUUGUACCAUGCUUACUAUAUUGGUGUUGUUCUAAUGCAUAAGUUUGAUUAUAUCCUAAAUGUCGUGGCAUGCGAUAUGUUAUUUAUUGAGUAAUUAAUAAUUUUUGACAAUCUUUAAGUAAAUUGAUUGUAUUAUCCUACAAUCAAAUUGAUGAAUAUCAAAUCAUUUGAGAUGAAUUUUGGGAUGUGUAAAACUCCCAAUUUUAUCAUAUGAAUAUCAAAUCAAUUGAUGAAUAGCAAAACUCACCCCCCCCCCCCCCCNNNNNNNNNNNNNNNNNNNNNNNNNNNNNNNNNNNNNNNNNNNNNNNNNNNNNNNNNNNNNNNNNNNNNNNNNNNNNNNNNNNNNNNNNNNNNNNNNNNNNNNNNNNNNNNNNNNNNNNNNNNNNNNNNNNNNNNNNNNNNNNNNNNNNNNNNNNNNNNNNNNNNNNNNNNNNNNNNNNNNNNNNNNNNNNNNNNNNNNNNNNNNNNNNNNNNNNNNNNNNNNNNNNNNNNNNNNNNNNNNNNNNNNNNNNNNNNNNNNNNNNNNNNNNNNNNNNNNNNNNNNNNNNNNNNNNNNNNNNNNNNNNNNNNNNNNNNNNNNNNNNNNNNNNNNNNNNNNNNNNNNNNNNNNNNNNNNNNNNNNNNNNNNNNNNNNNNNNNNNNNNNNNNNNNNNNNNNNNNNNNNNNNNNNNNNNNNNNNNNNNNNNNNNNNNNNNNNNNNNNNNNNNNAAGGCGGAUGUACGGUACAGCAGCCCCAAUUUAUCACGUUGCCUAGAUUUUGAUAUUACAAAAGAUAAGCGGGCAAACAUUGCCUAGAUUUGGAGAUUACCAUAUGAUAAGUGAGCAGGCAAAAGGUGUUAAAAAAAAUAAAAGAUACAGUCAAAAGUAAGACCAAAACUCGAUAUUAAAAUUGAUUGUUUCUUCAAGUGAAAUUUCUAAGUGUAAAAUAUAAUUUAUGUCAAUAUAAAGUGCUGCUUAGGUGCGGGCAUAUGGAUGGAGCUAAAAAAAGAAAAAGAAAAACAUUAAUUUUUUAUUUUUAUUUUUUAGUAUAUUGGAGUUCAUAUUAUCUUUUCUCUUUUGACAAAUUGGACCCAACGGUGGAAUGGAUAGCGCACCAUAAAUGCACCCCCUGGAUCCGACCCGAACAAUUCUUUCCUGACUCCAAGAUCCGCAAGCUAUCUAAUCAAUAUACGAAACGCUAAUAACACAUGAUAGUAGACGAACGCACACAUUAAUACAUUAUCAUUAAUUUAUUAUUGAAUCUUGGAGCCGACCUAAGAAGAAUUACAAGAGUAAAAGACAAUGAAAAAGCUAAAAAAAUCAAUUUAAAAUUAAAUUAAAAGAAUACACUAACUGCAAAACCAAGAGAAGAGUAUAUAUAUGCCGGUCGUUUUUUUUUAUUAUUUUUUUUUAAGAAAAUAAUUUGUAAUAGAAUGAUUGAUACACUUAACUACAUGAUCUUGCUAUAGCCACAGCGUGGACUAGUAGACGUGUACAAAUAUGGACCACAAAAAACACUAUAUACAUAAUGAGAAGGAAAAAUCUGAUUUCAAUAGUUUUGGCGAUACAAUUACGUGCAUUUCUCCACGUCAUAUAUUUGAAAUACCUUUGGCUGUAAGUUUGAAUUUUGAGAAAUAUGCUUUACCGUGUGAUGAGAAAUUCACGAAUGUUGAUUCUGAUUUUCUUUCAUUGUUUUCUUAAUUUCUUCAGAUUUUGGGCUGUUUGGUUAGUGACAUAACCAAAUGAACAUGAGAGAUUAAAACAUACAUUUGAAGCGGCUUUGAUUAAUUAACUGUCUUGGUACGUAUUUGCAAUCGAAUGAAUUAAUAUCUGUAGAAUGGAAUAAAUGACAUCCUUGACCUUGAGUUCUAUUUACAUGAACAAAAUUUUGCUGAUAACGCAUAUUGUGACAUAAUAAAAAUUUAUAACAUUUAAAAACAAAAUGAAAAUGUAUGCAAUUGCAGCUAUUAUUCGCCAAUGAGUUAUUUAUUUAUGGGAAAUUAUCCACCGUCUACUCAUUUUUUUUAAUUUUUUCAAAUUUAUUGGAAUCCACCUGAAAUUACAUUUAUUUUCACUCGUCCACUUCCGUUUGGAGACCGUUAAGAAAACUAACGGAAUAUUGUAUAAAUGACUUUUUUACCAUCAAAUGUAAAAGAUAAUUUAUUCAUCGACCAUCUUUUUUGUAUUGUUUCUUUAUUUUUAUUUUUGAAAAAUUUGUAACCCACCCCCAAAUAAAUUGACAUUUUGCACCGCAUCCCCAACAAAUUUGACUUGUUGCACCACGCCCCCAAUUCCGUUAAUUUUUCAGUUAUUUCUAACGGCUCUGUCUAACUUUUGAUUGAAUGACAAAAAUGCCCCUCUAUGUAAAAAAACAAAAUUUUUAGCUCAUUUAAUUUAUUUAUGGAAAAUUAUCUACCGUCCACUUAUUUUUUUUAAUUUUUUUUAAAAUACACAAUUUUUUUUUUGUUGGAAUCCACCUGAAGUUACAUUUAUUUUUACUCGUCCACUUCCGUUUGGAGACCGUUAAAAAAACUAACGGAAUAUUGUAUAAAUGAUUUUUUUACCCUCAAAUGUAAAAGAUAAAUUAUCCACCGACCACCUUUUUUUUGUAUUGUUUCAAAAAAGACACAAUUCUUUAUUUUUAUUUUUUAUUGAACUCCACUUGAAGUUAUAUGAUUUUGCACUUGUCCACUAUUGUGUCGUUGUGAAAUGAUAAUUUUACCCUUAUGAUGUUAGCAAAGUUCUAACGGUGUCAUAACGAGAGUGGAUCAUGAAAAAAUGUUAACUUCAGGUGAUGCGCUGCAAAAAAAUAAAAAAUAAAAUAAGAUUUGUGUAUUUUUUAAAACGGUAAAAAUGCGGGUGGACGGUAGAUAAUUUUCCUUUAUUUAUAGUUGUUAUCUUUUAACCUAAGUAUUUGUUGAGGAGCCGAGGAAUCUUGUAAUAUAUUUUUGUACUUUCGAUUAAUUCAUGUUAGAUUAAACACCGAUCUUUAAUUUUCUCAUGUGAGAGCUCUCAAAUCUUAAUCCACUCAUCACUAGCUGAUCAUAUAUCUCGAUCUAAUUAGUAUAAGAGAAAAAAAGGAAAAAAAACAAGAGAGAGGGUGUGGCUAGGAAGAUAGAGCCAGCAGAAAUUAACUGCAUGCCAUAUGCUGCCUAAGUAAAGAACUCAUCGGGGUAAGUCAAAGUGAAAGAAUAGCAAACCUUUAUGACAUGUCUAUUAUGCUUUCUAUAUAUAUUUUUUUUUCCUUAUCACUGGUUACUUUGGUUUGAAAAAAAUAAAAAUAAAAGGGUUUAACUCUAGCUGGGUAAACGAACUCUCUGUAUGUCAUUGUCCUUAUCAUGCAUUAUUGCAAAUUUGCAACUAUAUAUUAAUAUCACUCGCUGAGAGCCUAACACUUAUUUCAUUGGUAAUUUUGUUUUGCUGGACGCCAAACUUAGAACAAUCUUUUUGUGACUUUUAAAUUUGAAACCAAAAUAUUCUCAAAAUCCAAAAACAUGAGCGGCUCUGCACCGCUAAACAACAAAGCUAUUGCCUGAUCUUGACAUGAACACGAAAGCAUCACUUUGCUGUUAAAAAAAAACAAAAAACAAAAAGGGAAUAUUUCCUUAGUCUGAUAAACCCCGAUUUGCAGUGCUCCAUUUACCUUUUGGUGCCAAUUGGCAUGUUUACAUACUUGUGUAACACUAAAGGGGAUGAUUGGAAUUGUCUGCAUUAGAAACACUGCUACAUUUUGGAUGGAUCAAAUCCCCUAUUGAUCCCAAAAUUUGCUUUAGCAAAUGUAGAUUAGUGUUAAAAAUGAAUUAUCUGAUAACACUUUCAAUGAUCUUCGUCCUUUUUUUUUGUCCCUUCUUGUAGUCUCUUCUUAUAUAUUAAAUCUACUUAAAAAAGUUGGGUUAAUUAUUGAUUGUCGACAUCAAAAUUUAAAACUGAAUUUUAGCCACUUAUUUAAUAAGGAGACAUUAAGAGAGGAACAAAAGUUAAAAAAAAUAAGGAGAGAAUAUCUUACCCUUCAUGUCACCCCCUAGAGUCCCAGACACUAAUCACUCCUUCACCAAUGGUAUCAAAAUUAAGAUGCAUUGCUGGGCCGAGUAAUAGAAUUUACUGCUUAUAAUGGGUUUGAGCCCAAUAAAAUGAGGCAGGCUCAUCUUUGGCAGUCAAUCUUGUUUAACGAAAGACCGCAGGCUGUGGACCGCAUUUCAGAAGCUCGCAUGGUCUCAUCGAUAUUGAACUCAAACUCAUUUUCUUCUGUCAGAACCCAACACGUGACGAAAUUUUAUCAUAAUUACUUGAUGUGAUGUCGCCAUUUUAUUAAAUGUGAACAACGGGUGAGACAAAUUGAACUGUGAAAUCAAAUAGGCUGAUGAGUGCUUGCGACGGUUAGUUCCUCUUGUCCUAUUGUUUUGAUAUUUGUGUAAUCUUAAUUUAAUAUUAAAAUAUUAAUAACUUUUAAUUUUAUUUUAAUAUUAUUAUCUUAUGCCAAACGAAUUUAUCUUAAUAUCCUCAUACCUUAAUAUUAUUUAUUUUUUGAAAUAGAAUAUUUUUUAAAUUAUAUUUUUUUAAAAAAAAGAAGGCCUAACUAGAGAUUGAAUUUCCGAUGAGGUUAAUGUAAAAUCCUCUGUUAAAUAAUCUAUCACUACCCUCAUUUCUGUAGGCUAGAAAAGAAAUUGAUGAAAAAAAAUGAAGAAAAUGUUGUAGUGGACAGGAGAAAAAGAAGAAAAACACUUGGAGAGAGGGAGAGGAUGAGGAUAUUAAGAUAAAUUCAUUUAGCAUAAAGAUAAUAAUAUUAAAAUAAAAUUAAAAGUUAUUAAUAUUUUAAUAUUAAAUUAAGAUUACACAAAUAUCAAAACCGUAGGAUACGUGGCGAGAGAAGAAGUUAGAAGAAGCUAUCGACUGUCGCUAGCACUCCUAUUGCAUCAGUAAAAUUUAGAAUGACGAGACACCAAUAAAAACUAAUUUCUUAAAGAUUCAUAUUAUUAAAAAAAAUUUCCCAUGGUGGUUUUUUGCAAUAUUAACUUAUUAAGGGUGCAAAAUUUUUUCAAUAUAUUUUAUGUUUUGUCUCUAGGGUUUGGUCAAUUGGGUUUUAAAUAAUUUUAUUUAAUUAGUCAUCUGAGUCAAAAUCGUGAAGGAGAUAAAUAUUAAAAAAUUGAUUUGAGUUUACCCAUCCCUUUAUUUUUUAAAAAUUAUAUAUAUAACUAAAUAAAAGGGAAAAAAGAAACUUAUUAAGCGUGCAAGAUAUUUUGCCUGAUUUCAUAAUUGAACGAUAGAUUAAGAAGUGGUGCUUUUAUAGUCUUAUUCAUUUUAGGUAAGGCACAUAAUUAAUUUCAAACUCGCAAAAAACUUCCUAAUUGAGCAACAAAAGUGAGUGCCAGAAACAAUUGUCUAACUUAGCUAAAACGAUUGGAUUUUUCUGUGGCUAGCUCUAAUGCUUAAAGCACCAAAAUCCCACUCUCUUUUAUUUGCAACCUAAGGGACGUGUAGUUUAAUUUAUUUAUACCAUAGUGGUCUCUCCACUUAUUGUCAUCUGUCUUCUCUUCUAUCAAUUUAUCAAACUUUAUCGUGUUUGUGACUUUGUGCUCUCUUUGUUAAAUUCUAUUAUCCAUUUGUUGCUCACUUCUGCAAAAACUGGCUUGAUCGCACUUGAAGCUACAAUUUAAAUGUCCCAUCAUAGUUUUUUAUUAUACUGUCUCAUAUUUUUCCAAUUGGUCAAAACAAACUCCAGAGUCUCAUAAGGCCCACUAUAUUAGUAGUAGUUUUUUAUUAUUUUAUUUAAAAAAAAAAGGAGAUUGUCAAUUUUCUCAUACUGUAAUUAGUAUAUACUAUUUAUUCCUUUGUUGUUUUUAUAAUAGUCAAGAAUCUCCUAACAGUAUAAGUUUACAAUAUUAUCUUAAUUUUUAAAUAUAUUUAUAUAUUUAUUAUAAAUUAAGUAAACCAUAUGAAUAGAAACUAAAUAAAAAAUUAAAAUAAAUUAAGUAAAUCAUAUGAAUAGAAACUAAAUAAAAAAAAUUUAAGUAUUAAAAACAAGAAAAAUAUGUUUGAUGUGAACGAAGAAUUAUACAAGAAAAAUAUUUUUAUUAUUAAAUUUUCACAUCAAAACAUAUAUUUCUCAUUUUUAAUACGUAAUUUUUUUAUUUUAAUUUUCAUUCAUAUGAUUUAUUUAAUCUAGAAUAAAUAUAAACAAAAUUUAUUUAAAAAUAAGAGUAAUAUUGUAAACUUAUACUGUCAGGAGAGUUAUUGGCUAUUAUAAAAACACAAGAGACAAAUAGUAUAUAUUAAUUUCAGUAGGAGAGAAAUUGACAAACUCUUUUUUUAAAAAAAAAAAAGAAGAAGAAGAAAAUAUCAUCUAACAGCACCAAAUUAUCUAAUUCCAAAACCAAAAUGUAUGCCCCUUCAACUCAUUCAAAGUCAAAAGGCUUCGAAAAUUUGCUAAGAUUUUAACCCACCAACCAUGGCAUUAGUGCUCAAUAUUAAACUUUUCUUACGGCAAGGAUUAGAAUGGUGUGCAGGUGAGGCAAUUAAAAUGGAGGAUAAAUUGAAAAGAAGCUGGUCGAAUCAAAUGGUGCCAUGUCGGGAUCAUAGACUCUCAAUUGCCCUUGUUCUAAAUAUAAGGCCUCAAAUGGAUCUUUAGAAAUUAACUGUGCUUUAAUGGAUAGUCAUGAUAUCCUCCACCCUUAAUGGUUCAUGAUAUCUUGUCAUCCCCGAAAAUGGAGGGAAGAGACAAAAAUAUUUGAAUUCGAUAUUGACAUGAAUUUUAUAGUGAUCUUUAUACAAGUUGUGAUUGGUAGCGAACAAGAAUAUAUUUUUAAUUGAAUCUUAUUUGUACCAUAAACAUUAUGUGCCACAACACUUUAAAAAGAUGAGCACUAGAUUCAAUCAAAAAAUUAAAUCAUAAUUUUAUUCGUAAUUGGUGUUAGGUUCCUAACAUAAGUCAAUUGUCAAAUUUUCCUUGAAAUUAAAAAGAAAUAGGAAAAAAAUCAGUCAACAAUAAGUCAAACGGGAAGCCAAGUAAUCAUAAGAGGAGCACGUGCCUCUCCAAGAGACUGUCCAUCUCUAAUGGCCAACUGACUAAUUUAAGCGAAAAUAUUAAAGAAAAGGACAAGUCUGAAGUGAAAACUAUUAAUGAAUGAAACGGAGAAAAUAAAUUUCAAUGAGUGCAAAUAUUCAAUUUUUACAAGUGUUAGAAAUAAAAAAAGAAAAUAACGUAGUUAACAUAAUCUGGAAAUAACAAUUAACAAAUAGAGAUGAAGUAAAUUAUUAACUUAUUUUGUUGAUUGAUAAUGAGCAUUUUUUAAUCAAUAAUUAGGAUAGAGAAAAUCAAUCAUUUUGAUUUAUUGUUUUAUUUUUAAUCUUUUUUAUUUUUCAUUAUUGUUUGAUUCUGCCUCCUCCUCCCUGAAGCGCUAGCCAGGGAAACUUUGAUAGUUUCUAAAUAACGAAGGAUUUGACACCGUAACACUGGAGUUUGAGAUUUGUAUUCAAGAUUUUAUAUUAUUAGCACUUGGGACUUGGGAGUGCGUAGAAAUGAAAGAAGCAUUGAGAAAGAUUUAGUUAUGGAAGAUUCAAGAGCCGGUGAUGGUGAUGCUAUAAACAAGUUCCUCACUUUUAUGUAUCAGUAUGAUAGCCACACAAAAGCAGUAACACAUUUUAACUUUUAAUUUCCUUAUUCCAUCAUUGCAUGCAAGUUAAUUUAUGCAACACUAACCACAAAUUCACAUGGUUUUAAUGCAGUAGAAUAUUUGGCGAACGAAAAAAAUGGUAUAGUGAUAGCGCCGCGCACUUAUUCCUGACCAAAAGCGAAGACUCAGCAGAAAUUGUUAAACAUAAACAUAAUGAUAAUGGUUCAGGAAUUUGAUGGCGGUGGUCGAUUGGAAGCUGUGGACCCUCCCUAUUAGCUUGCCUUGAUUAUUCUAAUGGAGCUCUGCUCCGGCACUGUGGGAUCCAGUGGCAGUGGAUGAAUCGUCGUCAUCCACUGCACGACAGAUAAUUUGAUGUGAUAGAAGCGGGACCCAACAAGAAAGGCCAAUCAGAAUUGCGCAUACGAAAUUAAAAACUAGAUGGCAAGGACAAACAAAUGCGUACGGACGACUUCCGUGGCACGGAUUUUUGAGAUAUUUUAUUGGAGGAUAGAUAGAUAGAUAGAUAGAUAGAUAGAUAGAUACACGGAUUCCAGAAGCGUAAGCUACUGCUGAUCGUGGCUUUUUAGGUAUGUUUGGUUAUUGCUUAGACACGCCUUUCGUCAUCAUCAAAUCAAUAGCUUUCUGAUAUCCGCAGUACGUGUGUAUAUCACCGUUAAGGCAGCUUCCGCGAACGACAAUGUUGGUGAAAUCAACGGUCCAGAUAAACGAACAAACAUAACCACAUCAUUUUCUUUUGGACUCCUACCUCUAGGAAGAUUUAAAUAUGGAAAAUGCUACUUUUUCCGAGACAAACCUCGGGUCAAACUUUGAAUUAAAUCAAAAUCACUCCAUUUUGAUUUUAUUUUUUUUUGCUUGAAACGUAGUCGUUUCAGCUUAGUGAAAACAAAAAAAAAUGCAGCUGUUUUUCUUCCUCUUCCUCUUCGAUUCCUUUUUGCUUCCAUGAAACGUAGUCGUUUCAGCCUAGUGAAAGCAAACCUAGGUUUAUGCAUUUUCUUCUAAAUCUGAAGCCCUAUAAGUUCGUUUGUAGUUUGUAUUGGAGCUGUAAAAUGCAGAGCAAUUGCAAGACAAAUUAUAGACCAGUUCAACAUAAAUUGCAGACUAAUUCAGCACAAAUUGCAGAAGUCACUUGCACAACAAUUCAUCACAAAAUGCAGAGCAAUUGAAAACAAAAUGCAGACAAAUCUGUACACAGUUUCUGGACCAAAAUCUCAUUUUCAUCAUCAUUCAUCCUCAACACUAGGCAUUAAGCACCCAAAUCAAGUGUGGAAAGGAAAAAUGAAUAUCAAUUGCAAUUUAACACACUUAUUUUCUUAACAUUUUAUUUCAACCGAAAAUUAAAUAAAAUGGAAAUGACAAUAGCUAUCAAAAUUCAGCACUUGCAAAGCAAUUAAAUUUAGCACUUGCAGAGCAAUUAUAUUAAGCACUUGCACUAGAUCAACCAAAUUGCAGCACUAAAGAUCGAAGACGUUUGGGUUUGUUUUGCCUGGGUCAAACGGCAACGUUUGCUUUCGGUUGAUUGAAACGGCUGGUGAAACGAAGAGGAGAGGAAGACGAAAACGAAGACAUUUGCUUUUGUUUGGCUGAAACGACUACGUUUUAUGGAAGUAAAAAGGAAAAAAAAAAAGAAACCAAAACGGCGUCAUUUUAGUUUAAUUUGAGGUUUGACCCAGGAUAAAUAGCAAAACUCUUUAAAUAUUCGAUGUUGAUGUGCAUAAAAUAUUAUUUUUAAGUAGAAAGAGAAAAUUGAUCGAUCAAGUUACGUAUCCCACCAAAUUCUACAGCAAAAACCUAAUAUCUUUUUUUAGUGCAGCCUCAAAGCUCGGAAGUUGGAAAUGACCAGAGACCUUAAUACAUAGAAUAUGUACAACGUAUUCAAAUUCUUCAUUAAUAUUUGAUUAAUUACUUACUUUUUGGGUAUUUAUUUGUUAAUUUAAUUUAAUAAAUUCAUUGCUGCUGGCUUCUUUGGUAAUUGGUAUUGUAGAUUUUAGAGAGAAUGCAAAUGAACUUGUGGGUUUCGCGUCAACGGGGCUUUGGUCAAUGUCACUUGAGCACAGUGAUCAUGACGUGCACUGAAAAUAAAAUAAAGUAUAAUGCACUAACAAAUUAAGGAGUGUCAUAAACCAAAUAAAUACAAUUCGAUUGGUGCAUCUGGAUGCAUAUUAAUUAAAUUAUCGUUUCUAGUUAUAAAAUUCUUCUCCUUGCUUUUUCUUUUCUUUUUUUUUCCUCCUUUGAAUUUCAAAACGCAUGCUUGUGAUCCACCACCAAAAACCGCGUGGUAGUUAAUUUGCCUUUUAAGUUAGUGCUUGGAAAUUACGUGAAUGGUACAAUUUUCGUACACUACAAAAGCAACAAAUCAUCCACCCUAAUAUAUAAAGUGACUUCCACAUAAUGAAUUUCAAAAUCUGCAUUGCCUAUGACUAUGAGCUAUGACUUCAUUGGUGUUUGGACAUUUAUAUAUUAGGGUUGACAUGUUUCUAUUGAGCCGACGUAUAUUUAUGUUCUCAAAAAUCAAUUGGGGCAGAAGCAUGCUUACCACCUACAGCGAUUUAUUUUUCAGGCCAGGCUUGGGGAUGAUGAAUUUUGAGUUGGUACAGCCCUUAUAAUUUGUGAUAAUAUGAUUUCCUCUCCACAAGCACGCAGGGUCUAUCCUGGUUGGACCGAGAUUGAACCAAUUUUUCUGUUCUCAAAUUAGCCAGGAUCGAGCUUCCAAUUUUUCUCAAUUUGUUAUUCUGGAUGAUUUUAUUUUUCGAUCUUCAUCUUCUCAUUGUUUUUGUGAAGAUCAGCGUUUUGAUGAUAGUUUUCUUAGAAUUGUCUAUAUAUAUAUAGACAAUUAAGAAAUUAUAUAAAAUGCACAAUAGAAAACGAAAAUGGAGCACAUGAUUUUUUUUUAGAAAAUAAAAAUGUACGCAGGAAAAAAAUGUGCGUAUAUGUAUAUGUACAUAUACAAUUAAAGUUUAAGUAAGAAAUGACCAAAAAAGGUUCAAAUGAAGGUAAAUUUGCCUUUAAAUUAAUGAUGACGUUAGAUAUCUAUUUAACAGAAUUAAAAAACAAUAGGGACAUGCUAAUUAUAUGCAUUAACUAAGUCAUUGGAACACAAUGGUUUGUAUUUGGUUCCUAAAGGGGCACUCGACUCCGACCGAUUGUGUUGUAAUGAGUUAUUUAAACCUACCAAAUACUCAAUAAUCGUAAUAUCGUUUGGUCAAGAAGAGAAUUCCAUCCUGCCUAUUUUCUUUAGAUACAAAAAAUGAAAGGAAUAAUUUCAAAGAACAAUUUUGAGUUAGGUAUGAGAAGAAUAAAAGUAAAGAUAAAGACAAGUAAAAUCAGUGGACUUUUAAGAUCGAUUAUCGAUCAAUAUUAAGAUUACUUGAAUCAAUCAAAUUCUUAGACAUUAUAAUGGCAGUAUUUAAUUUCCUUUUCAUAUUUUCAAUUCUAUAUAAUUGAGCCCUUAUGCUUAACUGCUUAUGAUGAAUAAGAGUGAAAUUUAUAUUCUUCACAUGAAAAUAAAUUUCAAGUAUUUAAUUAUUACAGAAAUAUAGUCAAUAUAAUCACGUAGCAGACAAUAUAAAGUGGCAUAGACCUCAACAUCCUCCACUAUGGAUAAGUGGACUCAUUUUCCAUUUAAUCAUCACUAAACUAUGCAGUUUCAAUCCAGUUAGUCUUGUAAAAUAUACUCCACUUACACAGUUAUUUUCAACACUCAACUCGUUUUCAGACCAGUUUAAUUUGAAGUAACAAUUAAUACAUAAAUGGGAGCAGCAAAUUAUAUAUAGCCGAAAACUGUAAUUAUGUAAUCCCUCCAAUUAUUAGCCACAAAAUUCAUAUAUGUAUAGAAGAAUAAUAUAGAUAGAACGGUCUUCAAGCACAUGAUUGCAUGACACCCUAGCAUGUAUACUAAAACAAUCGCUAAGCUUUCUGAAAAUUAGAGUUAAUUCCUGAGUCAAGGCACGGUCUCUUAUAAGGGCUAUGUAACUUGCUAAUUGUUGCAUGAAUUAAGGCCAAUUAUAUUAGAGGCGAAGAUACGAAGAAUUAGCUAGUCAUACCAAUUUAUUUAAAGAGCCAUUCUCAGCUUACUGUAGAUGUCUAGUGAUCGGUUGUCAUACUUGGAUGGGAAAAGACCAUUGUCUAUAUCAGGAGGCACACUCAUGCCAUGCAAGCGUGUUCCACUAGAGCCACUUCAUCAAUAGUCGUCUCGAUCACAAAAUUAAAUUAAAAUAAAAAAUUUUAUUAUGCAACAUAAAAAUUGCACAAGCAAACACCUGGUACUUCGUCUUCCAUUACUUUACGCCAAUUCGGUAAUUAUAAGUGCAAAAGGUCUAUGUCCACUUUAGACAUCAACGCAAUUACUACAACAUUCUCAUGGGAUGAUUAUAUAUAUAGGUUAGCCCUCAGCCUAACUUCUCAAGAAGAAAGUGAAAUUUAGCUCAAAGCAAACGGAAAAGAGUAGAGAGAUCUUUUUUUUUUUUUUUUUUUUUUCUUAUAAUAUACCGAUAUGGGUUCGACUGUGAUUGCUAUUCCCGAUAGAGAGGAUGUGGCUCCUAAAGAGAAGAAGAAAUUUCGAGACUUUUUUCUUCCUAUUAUUAGCUUUGUUAGAGAAGUAGACAGCAAAUAUGACUUGAGAAAAUUGAUUCAUAGUAUCAAAGUUGGAGUUGCUCUUGUUUCGGUUUCUCUUCUCUAUCUGGUUGAUCCUCUCUAUAAGCAAGUUGGUGAAAAUGCCAUGUGGGCUAUAAUGACCGUCGUGGUCAUCUUUGAGUUCUAUGCAGGUUUGUUUAAGUUACACAUUCGUUUUAUGAGGGAAUUUAAAUAUUAGUGCUGAUCCGAGCUCUGCAUGCGCUAAUCUCUUAAUCAAUAUUUCAAAUUUGUUUUAUAAUACACUAUAGGUGCUACACUUAGCAAAGGCUUAAAUCGAGGAAUCGGAACUAUAUUAGGAGGUGGAUUGGGGUGCUUAGCAGCAGCUUUUGCUCAAGAUGUUGGUGGGAUUGGCAACAGCAUUGUCGUUGGCAUUUCUGUUUUCAUAAGUGGUAAAUAUUAUUCCUAUAAUCUUUACACACAUAAUUAACCGAGGCCCAACAGCAUCUAAUUAACUUAAUUUAUAUAACACGUGCAAAUUAAUUAUGAUUGUUAUAUUUCAGGUGCAGCAGCAACGUAUAUGCGAUUGGUUCCGAGAAUAAAGAAAAGAUAUGAGUACGGAACCAUGAUAUUUAUCCUCACUUUCAAUCUGGUGGUGGUAUCCGGCUUGCGAGCUGAAGAGGUCAUGCAAUUAGCCCGCGAACGUCUCACAACAAUUGUUAUGGGUUUUGUUAUCUGCAUUUUCAUCAGUUUACUUGUUUUCCCCAUAUGGGCUGGUGAUGAACUUCAUGACUCUUUAACCUCAAAAUUCGAACACCUCGCUCGCUCCAUUGAAGGUAUGUAAAUUUCUUCGAUAAUAAUCAGUCAAAAAGAGAUCCAGCUUAAUAUUCAAUCAAAAAUAUUGAUUUGUGGAAUAUUAUAAGUUAAUUAUAAUUGAAAGGGUUACUAUAUAUAAUUAAUAAUUCAAGAAGUUAUUUGUUGUAGGAUGCUUGGAGGAGUACUUCAAAGUUGACACCGAGAAAGAAAACCGGCCCGGUUUUAGUUUAAGCUCUUGUAAGUCAGUACUCCAUUCAAAGGCAAAGGAUGAAUCACUGGUAAAUUAACUAUUCUUUUCACCCACUUCAUUGCUACUCCUUAAAAACCCACUAUAAUUCAUUAUUAAUAAACUUUAAGCCACUUUUGCGUACAUUUGGAUAUCAAAACCAACUCCAUGAUUAUUAAAAAGCUAUCAUGCAUUUCUCAGGCAAAUUUUGCGAGAUGGGAACCCUGGCAUGGGAAAUUUAGAUUGUCUUACCCUUGGAAGAAAUAUCUAAAAAUCGGAGAGGUUCUUCGUGAUAUGGCUGCAAAUGUUCUUUCCGUUAAAGGCUGUCUUCAAUCUCCUAGACAGGUAUUAUUAUUAUUAUUAUUAUUAUUAUUAUUAUUUGUUAGGUUAGGUACUGCUUAGUCCUAUAUUUUAAAAAAUAUUUAAAGCAUCUUUGUUAUUAUUUCUGUUACACCUUUGCACUUAUUUUUUAUUACUUUUACAAUGAUUCUUUUAUAACAAUCUUAGGACAUAAAUAAAAAGAAAAAAUAUUUGUUUACCAAAUUAACUUUAAAAAAAAGUUAUAUAAACUUUUAUUUUACUUUUAGGGUCAAUUUGGUAAAUUAAUAAUUUUCUUUUUUAAUAUGCCUCUAUAAUUGUUGUAUGGAUAUUAUUACAAAAAUAAAGAAAAAAUAAGGUCGAAGUGUACAACAAGAGUAUUUUGGGAUAUGUUUGAAAUAUAAGAUACUAAAUAAGCAUUUAUUCCUUUAUUUAUUUAUUUUUUUCAUAACCAAAUGUCACAAGUUCAUUAAUUUAUUUUUGUACGUACCAUUGCAUGUCGUCAGUCUUUACAAAACCUGAGAGCAUCAAUCAAAGAACCGUGUGAAAUAGUAGGGUCAUCACUUGCAUGGGCACUAAGAGAGCUUGGGGAGAGCAUCAAGAAAAUGAAUAAAUGUGAGACAGCGGGUUUGAUAAUGCCAAAGCUGAAGUCAAUCAGACACGAACUAAACCUAAUCAUUACUCCAUCUGCACUAGCAAGCGUGGAGAAGAGUACUGAUGCCCUCGAACUUGCAAGCUUUGUAUUUUCGUUGAUGGAGAUGGUUGAUAAAGUGGAAGAAUUGACUAAGGAGGUUGAAGAACUUGGAGGCCUUGCUGGCUUUCAUGCUAACAGUAAAUAGCGAGUUUUGCUAAGAUAUAUAUAUAUAUAGCAUAUAUAUUUUAUAUAUGUAUAGAUUCAAGAGAAGCAUAUGCCAAUUUUUGGCUCCUUUGAAACGUAGAUACAUGUAUGUUUCAAGAAAGUAAAAGUUUCUUGGGAUGAAUGUUGAACUUAAAAAUGUGAUGGUAUGUAAUGUAUUGAAACAAAUGGAAAAAAUAUGUCCUCAAUUGAAAAAUAUUGAAAAUUUAUUGCAUCCCGUAAAUAUAAAUAUAUUAGCAAUGAUUGAACAGUCGAAGCCUCCAAGCACCACGUACAAUAAUUAGAAAGCAACCUCUUUAAGAAAAAUAAACAAAUAGCCUUUAAACGACUUCUUGUCCAAUUGAAAUUAAGAGAUAUUACAUGGAAUAAUAACUCUGAGGCCAAGAAAAACAAUAUUAAAUUGACAACAGAACAAGAAAAUUAUGUAGACUGAGUCAAAUGACCAUUUCGAUCCACCAAUAUCCUAUUGCAAAGCAAAGAGUAAUGCUUAGUUUUGCCCCUCAAUUCAGAUGCAAAGCAGCUACAUAAAAUAAAACCAUUUGCUGCUAGAAGGGUGACUUCUAGUACUUACAUAAUCGGAAUUAUCAUCCAUAGCUGAUGAUGCAGAAAUAUAAAAGAUUGGUAAAUAAGAGAAGCCAAAUUUUUUAGUAAUAAAUAUUUUAUUGAAAAUUUUUUAAAUGAAUAAAAUUAGAGUUUUGAAUCCUUUUUAUACUAAAUUUAUCAAAGUAGGCAAAUUUAAACUAUUAUUUUAUAGUAAUAUUCUUCUAAUCUAAAUAAGAAAGACAAAAUAAAAGGAACCCAAAUCCGAAAUCUAAAACAAAAAUAAAAAUCCUGUAAAGUUAUAUGAAAAUAAGAAAAUAACUAAAAACUGCAAGGUGACCAGUAAAUGAAUGGAAUUUCCAACUCGACCAUAGGACAAAAUAGAAUAAGCAUUUAUGGGUUUGAUAUGUCUCUCCAAGUUUCGAAACAGUACAUUAGACGUCCAAAAUGGACAAAAUUCUACUUCCUAAAAGUACCAUGAUCAUCAAAGACUACCAUCCUAAAUAAAUUGUGACUCUAAAUUUAUAUAUAUAUAUAUAUUAAAAAAAAUCACAGAUUUAAAACUAUAAAUUAAAAUUUUUAUCUAAUUAUUUCUAUUUUAUAAAAUAUGCUCUUUGAUAGACUCCAAUCACUUUCUAUUUUAUACCUAGCUUAUGACUCAAAAUACAUGAAGCAAUGAUACAGACGUUUCACAUGCUUUACAUGAAGAGAAACCAUAGUAGUUUUCAAAAGAACAGCUACCUAAUUUGUUCCAUAUGAAUUUAAUUUAACAACUACAAACAAUAGAACAGGAACAUUUCAACAAAAGACAAAUAACUAAAGACAAAUCACAAAAAGCAUACUUGAAACUUAUGUUUGAUGGAAAAACCAAAGCCAAAAAUCUGCAUAAAAGUCAACACAAACUUCAUUUCUAUCUAAAACAUAGAAAAGAGAUGGAUUUGCUUAAAAAAUUAGCAGUGAUUAUGGUUGGAAUGUUGUUUAUAUUCUGCAGAACUGUUACGAGUGUUCCCAAUACAACCGUGACAAACGUUCUCUGCAACUCGGGAGAGUACACACACGGAGAUCCUUUCGCCAUAAGUUUAGCUUAUGUUCUUGCAGAUUUGGAGACUGUAACAUCAGCAAGCAAAGAUUAUGAUUACUACAACAUAUCACCUUAUCCUAAUGCAUUUGCCUAUGGUCAUGCUGCUUGUAACAAAAAUCUAACAAGUCCAGAUUGCACUUCCUGUCUUGGUGCGGCCAAAACAGCAAUGCUUGGUUCCUGUCCAAGCAGGAUAGGAUCUCGUUCAGUGCUCCACGAUUGUAAAAUUAGGUAUGAGCAAUAUCCCUUUGAGGAUUAAAAGGCCUACUGCUUAAUCGAUCUCAAGUCUUAAUAGAUCUGCACUUUUAUCUUGUAAGUUUGUGGCUUUAGCACAAAGUGUGUGCAAAUAUACAAACUUAUCUUUUUUAAGUGAAACGAUUCCUGUUUUUGUUUAGACGCCACCUCGUCUUUGCUCUUUCCUUGUUUUAUCCAAUUACAGAUACAUGAAGGUCUCAGUACAUUAAUUGGUGGUUCCACAAUUCUGAAUUAUGAUCCACUACGUGUUAAAUCAAAGCAACUUUGGAUUAACGGGCUAAUUCUCACAAUGUAAAAGGAACACGUGUUCUAAUCAGAGCAUAUGUAAAAGGAUUAAGAAUGUUGUUUCCGUAAGGUGAAUCUUGAUCUUUUCGCUGUUAGUUGUCCAUGUCUUCUUAAUACAUCUCUAUCCAAUUCCAUUUUUAAGUGUGCGGGUUGUGUCUAUGCUUCAAUUAAAAUUGACCCCGCAUGACUGAUAAUCCAUCAACCCACAAGACGCUAUGCGUGGGUGACUUGCAGGGCACUCUGUUCGUUUAGUGCUGAGACCAUUUAUUUUUCAAUUUUGCUUGAUUGGCAUAUAAAAUGUUUCUCCAUUUGGGUUGGGAAAAUGUAUCAUCCUCUAUUUGCUAAACAUUCAGCAAAUCUUGGAACAGAGAUGCGACCUGUAGAGCACUAACUUUUUUGGGCAUCUUUGUUACCACACCAUUAAUUGACAUGAACAAUGUUUCUAUCUAAUUUGAGGAUAAACAUAUCCAUUUGGUCAUCUUCCCUAGCAUUUCAGAAAAUAACUUGCAAAUUAUCAACAUUUUUGCGUUUAUAGAAUUGUGUAUCUUAACCAACAUAGAAUUUAUUGAUUCGAAGAUUGCUCUAUCUUAUGAUAUUUUAUUUUGUAAUCACUAAUAAUAAUAUUACGGAGUAAAAGAUGUAUCGAGUCCGGAGUCUUCACAGCUAUAUUUCGAGUAAUAAACUGAAAAUGAGAGUUUGUACAACUGUUUGUGAAAAUGUCACAGAGAAAUAGAACAAAGCCUCUGUUUCAGGGCUUCAUAUCUGAAAGAGUAAUUAAUUACCGAUUCUUCUUCGAGCGAGUAGACUCUCGCUUGAGAAAAAGCGCGUAAAAAAGCUCAUUCUAGGAAUCGGGGACACCAGGCAAGCACCGGUGGCUGCAACCUUGAAUAAGGAUAAGCCUUGGGCCACCAUCAGGAUUCCGGUUGUACAAAGAUGCAGACCCGUCUUUUCUCCGAGCUGUCAUGCUUGUAACAUUCAGCAAAUCCAAAUUCUUCGCCGUUAACUCAUUUAAACGAUUUUGAAAACACAUCAGAGAACUCCAAAUGAAUUGGAAUCCUUUUCUUGUCAAAACCAAAAGUGAAAUCUAGUUUGAUUUGAAUUAAAGUGGCAUUUAUAGAAUGAAUUGAUUGAGAAUGUAAUCAUAAUUUUUUAAAUAACAAAAGAGCACACAUUAUAUACGAAAUGAAGUUCAGCUUGCAUUUUACAGCGAAUGGUGAUAUGUUGUUUGACACCUAAGAGAAGAAUUUUCAACAAUUGACAAAUAUAAUCCAGACACUUAAUGAUGUUGAACUAAGAUUUAAAAAAAAAAAAAAGAUUCUAUCGAGUAUCCAGAAUUUUCCAUGUACAUAAAAAUUCAGUGACCAUAUCAAGGACUCUCAAACGUCCUUCAAAUUUUUUUUUUUCUUUUUCCCCAAAAAUUUACACAUAAUGGGAGCAGUAGUGUGACCAUAUCUCUCCACCAUCGACUUUACAUCUGCCUGUAAACUAGCUGUAAACAAACCCUUACUACGGUGAUGGUCUGUUUCUGAUAAAUGCAUGUGAAUUCACCGAAAUCUGGGAUUCGCAGCAAAUAUUGUUUUGCUGCAAAACCCUACAAAUUUGGAGCGGAACCUGAAAGGCCGAGUGGAUGAACAAGAGACAUCAAUUAGAGAGAAGCCAUCACCAUCACUCAUCAGCCUUAUAAAAGUUAAUUUUGCCCUUUGGAUUCGAAGAAUAUGAGCCAUUUUCUUGUAAAUUUAACAUUAGAGCGGCGCCUGAGGAUGUUCGACUGAAUUUUGUGCAUGGGAAGUCUCCUGCUUGAGAAAAAGUGCAUAAAGAAGCUCAUUCCACGAAUCAGGAAUGCCAGGCAAGCACCAGUGGCUGCAAUCUUGUCGGUGGAGUGGUGCUGGACCUCUCUUGGGGCCUAAAAGGUAAACAGAAGAAUGGCCAUCUUUCCUACGGGAUGUCAUGUCUGUGACAUUCAACAAACCCAAGUUCAUAGCUUGUGACUCAUUCCUGUGCUUCAAUAAUGCAUUGGCUACUAUUUUGAAAUGAAUUCCAGGUGGAGCAGGUAAUGGGCCCAAGUCAGGGAGCUUUUCCAGGUGACAGGAACCACCAGAAUUCCAAUUCCCAUUUCUGUAACAUCUAACUAAUAUUUUUAAUGAUCAAUCAUGGUUUCACAUAAUAUAGCAGAGUUGGUGCCCAGUCUUAACUAAUAAUAAGUAAUUAACCAUCUAACAUACAUACACACUGCAGAGGUCAUAACCGACACUCCAUUCAUUUUCCCUUGUGAGGUGAUUAAAUUUGGAUUUCUAGAACCUUACUAGGCAAAUCUUUAAAGGUUGUAUUAUUGUUAACAGCUUAUAUAUAAUCUGAUGUUUCCAGCUAAAUAAAUAAAUAAAUAAAUAAAAUUAUUCCAGAAAAUGUUCAGAACCUCUUGAUUUAAUUUAAAUGGUAAAGAAGAAAACUGAAACAGUAUUGCCUCAUUGUUAUAUUGUCUACUUCAAGGCAUUGUGUUUAGAAGAAAGAUGAUAUCAUGUGCUGAUGAUAAAAGCAGUGUAAAUGCCAGGAUAUGCAUAAAUAAAAUCAUGAAGGAGCUUUAAAGCUCAAUGAGACAAUAAGGAAAACUUAUUUUGGACAUUUUGGACAAAAGGAAAAGAAGAGAGUUGAGCUGAACCUGAAGUGCACAGGAGCAUAGGUCCGAAAGAGAACUUGGGUCUUGUCCAUAUUAACCUGACUGCCAAUCCAAUGAAUCAAUGUCUCAAUUGCUUUCUGGAAUGCAGUUUCAACACUCAUCUUCUUCUUUAGCUCCCCCCUUUCUUCAAAAUAACAACCCCUAAACAACAGGAAUCCAAAGAUCAGGCAUCAUAUUAUACAUAGAAAAAUGGUAGGUCUCCCAUCAAUAUAUUCUAAGAAAUUACUGAACUAAGCAGCAUUCAGUUUGUCACAUGCGAGGGAUGCACAAGAAAACAUAAGCAGUAUUAUUUGCAGUAUUCACACCCUGAUAACAUUUUCAUAUUGUGAGUUGCUUAAAAGUAAUUCUUUCAAAUGAGUUAUCAAGGAAAAUUUGCCAGAUAGAAGCCAGAGAAAGUGACCUUAAGGUGUUCUGUACAUGAUCAAGAUAAAACAAGCAUAUAUUUUGCGCCAUGUGUAAUAUAUUGGCAAUUAAGAUAUAUCUUUUCUAUUCCCACCACAAAUAGUCAUCGUCAUAAUAUAACUCCUUAAAAAAAAUCCUAGAUAGCAUAAUGUUAAUACUAAGGAUCCUAUCAUGAACUUAAGAUUAAUUUGCAGCUCAAAUAUUCAUCAGUAAAAAAUGUGAAACAUAUGUUCUCCUCCCCCAACGCUCAACGUUCACCUUUAGCUUUCUAACUACCAGAAAAGCUACUAAUAAGAAUUCUACAUUUGAUGGUGAGGAAACUAUGAAUAUCCAUAUGUCAAUAUGUAUAAGACAAACCAGCUCUCACGAAAGGAAAAGAAAAGGAAAAAAACAGAAAGCCGUAAUAUAGAUAAUGCAUACUCUCUUAUAGUCUUCUCAAAAUUCCACCAGUGCCCUGUGUUAAAAAUCAGUACGUCUGCAUCUCUCCAUUUACGAGAACUCCAGUCCAAUUGAUCCACUUUCAAAGUCAGCCUCACCUCUUUUGGAGCCUUGGCUGGAGGUCGGCUCUGAACCACUAAAAAUGGAGACCUGUAGUAUUCAACUGUGCAAUUAUAGUCCUUGAACAAGAAAACCAAAGAACCUUUGUGCUUCGUGAUCGGUUCCCCAUUCACCUCAUAAAUUGAAGACUUGUUGGUAACAGCAGAGGCUAGCAUGCAAAGUAGGGACUCCCAUUGGUUCCUUCCAAUUGAGUCACCAACAAAUGCAAGCCUCCUGUUUCGUAGCUUUUGCAGCAUAUUCCUUGCAUCAAAUCUGUUCUCAACACAAAAGGAAGACAAUCAAAUUGGAUGCAAGUUCAUAACACAAGCACAGUUCUACACAUUAGGAGUAGUGAAGGCUAAAAGUUUCGUGCAAUGUGUCAAUACAGGGGAGACGCUCAAACUGCAAUAUUCCAAAUCAAUUCAAUAGAAAUCGAAAUAUGCAUCAAUCAGCAUAAAGGAGAACAGCAUUCAAAGAAAUAAACCCAGCAAGAGUGCUUAACAUAGCUGCAAAAAUCACUCUAUUAUUAAAAUGGUAACAGAAUUCUUCAAGAACUUGCAUAAUCAUAAGUCCGAAUUAUAUGGCACAUGUACAAAAUAACAUUUCCAUAAAGGGCAGAAAUUGACUCGUACACUUUCCCAGCAACCAACAGAAACCAAACAUACAACGACAAAAGAUAAACAAACCUGGGCAAGUUACAGGCUUUAGGUUGCCAACGCCACUUGGUGUAAAAAUUAUCAGGCCUGCCAUUCUCUAAACAACGAAACCCUUCAUCGAGGAACAAACAAUCUGAGCUCCGAUACAGUGGAUAGUUAUCAUCCCAAACCCAGUUACCAUCAAACACAUCACAGAGCCCAGCACCUUCAUCGAGAAAUCCUGGCCGUUCAUUCACACCCAAACCCAAUGGUUCUUCUGCUGCUGCUGCUGCUGAUGAUGAUGAUGAUGAAGGAGAAGAAGAAAAUGGGACAGCUAGUCCAAGCCAAGAAGGAUCAUGAUAAUGCAAGCGUCGAGUAACAGUCCGGUAAUCCAGGUAAAAGAAACAGCCAAUGAAUAUAGCAGCCACCAAGAUGAAACCAAGAAUCCCCAAAGAAGGCUCAAGAGGGUUCAAGCGCUUGAAUUUCUUCCAGAAAUCCAAGUGGGUCAUUGUGUCUGAUUCCUGUGCUACUGGACUUGUGUUCUUUCUCAUUUUUUCAAAAAAAUAAAAUAUAUUUUUGAUAAUUGAAAGGGUAGAAAAAAAACUCCUUCAUUCAAAGUUCGAAUAAAAGGUAAGAAGAGAAUAGAGAAAAUGCCAUGUGGGGACUAAAAAGCCAAAAAGAAAGAAAGAAAGAAAGAAAGAAAGCAUUAAUGGCCAGAGCUAAUGUAAGUUAAGCUAAUAAAAAAAUUAAAAGUAAAAUAAUUUAUAAGUUCUGAUUUUUCUAGUUGGCUGAGAAAGAAAGAAAGAAAGUUAUUUGUUAAUCAGUCACAUUCGAGCAUGAAAUGCAUUUAGUCAUUCUUAAAUCUUAAUUGCCUUUUGACACUCGACACGGAGAGACAAUGGUUGCAAGCACUGCUGGUUUUGACAAUAUGAAUUCUUUUGGGUGAUAAUUCUGAGAAAGGAAGUAAUUAUUAAAGCGAAUUGAUUACAAAUGUGAAUUUGAAUGGGAAUGUGCUUGUUACUGUUAGUCGUGCGGUCAUGGGAUGAGAAAAUGGAGGCCCCGACAAAUAUACUGCAGUCAGACAAAAGUAGGGCACGAAUUCCUUACAAAUAAUAUAUAACUUACAAUAAUUUAAAAGUAAUGAUUUAAUCAAAAAUAAUAACGUGUAAAAUAAUUACGAGAUAGAAAUACCUUAAAAUAAAAUUUCUUCUUUUUUUAAUAUCUAUAAUAUUUUUUUUCUCCUCAUUAUCGUAUAAACUGAUGUCGACGUGAUUUAUUAUUUGAUAUAUGACAUCACCAUUUUUGCAUUUGCUGAAUUGGGUUUUUUUUUUUUUUUUUGGUGUUGUUUUUAAAUACUUUUCCAUGUUUGCAUCAAAAUGUUAAUUACGGGUUGACACAUGCAAUGAUAUCAUGGCGGAAAUUUUUCUUGAUAUUGAAUUUUGUUUCCAUUGUAUAAACAAAAAAACAAAAAAAAAAAAAAAACUUAAUCAUUCAACAUCGUUUCGGAUUUUUGUUUUGUUUUGUUUUGACAUUUUAUGGUGACAUGUUAGAGAUAAGAUUAGUUGGUUAAUUUGACUUGAGAACAAUUUAGUGCCUUCCACAUGCCCCCACCUUAAUAUUUGUUGACAAAUGACAGCCGCUAUUCUGGCUGUGACAAUUUUGAUCAAUUUUAAUCGGGAGGCGACAAUUGAAAACGGAUUAGAAGAGACGAUUUUUUCCCCAUUUUAAAUACAACAUAUAAUUAAAUUAGUUCUGUUUUAGCACGCAUUAAUUUGAUUAAAUAGGAUGCAAUAGGAAUAUUCCCUAAAAAAAAUGAACGAAAGGUAAGAGUCCUCCACAUUCCACAACCGUGGGUUAGCUGACACGUAUAGGAAUACCUAGUCAGUGAAAUAGAGCAAUUUUCAAAAGGUUUUUGCUACCUUACAUGCAAUGUAAGGUACAGCCUCUCACAAGGCCGGUGGGUCUAAGUAGGAUCCACAACUGAAUUUGUGAGAGGCUGUACCUUACAUUACAUGUAAGGUAGCAGCUCCCUUUUCAAAAAGAUCACCCGACGCUUGGCUGAGCAGUUAGCAUCCGUCUUUCUCUCACUCUUUCUUUCUUUUCUUUUUUUUUUUUGGCCGUUUUUCAGUUAAUAUAUGACCACUCAUGCAUCUAAUUUGUUUGCCUAAAUCUAAAACAAUUUCUUUACAAUUUUAUUUUCUUUCAUUUGUAGAUUAACUAAUUUCAUUUUUUUAACUAUUUUUAAACCACAAAUUUCAAGUCAAAUGAUUCUCAUUCAUAAACUUAUCAAUAAAAUAACUUUUUAUUGAGUGCUGGAAAGGGAAUAAAUAAGAAACUAUGAUUUCAAGAGUGAGAAAGCUGCUUAAAGAUUAAGAAAUAAAAAAAAAAGAAUGUUAAUUUAAAGUAUGGUUUUAGAAUCAAAGUAAAUAUUACAUGAAAAGGAGUUUUAAGAGGAGUUUUAGAAUCAAAGUAAAUAUUNNNNNNNNNNNNNNNNNNNNNNNNNNNNNNNNNNNNNNNNNNNNNNNNNNNNNNNNNNNNNNGGGGGGGGGGGGGGGCAAUAAUCCAACUCGAAGUUAAAAUGCCCAGUCUAUUUGCUCGUAGCGUUACACUUAGCAAAACAGUAGAGUUUCUAACACCCAUCUUUUAAACUCUUAAGAAAUCCCAAUUUACACUUUUAUCUCUUUUUUAAUGAAAUUAUAAUAAAAGACAUAAAAUGAUAAUAAAAUUUCAAUUAAAUCACAAUCAUUUAUAAUAAAUUUUCUAACCAUAUUUUUUCAUAAAUAAAAUUAUUGUUAUUAGAUUAUUUAUUUCUUCAUUGUUUCAAAAUUAUUUUGAUUUUGUCGACAAAGUUAUCUGUAUCAUAUAUCAGGAUUAAAAAAUAGUUAGGUCCAUGAUUUGUAAAUACAUUUUAGUUUAAUUAAAAUUCAUAAUUAUCCUUUUUAUGUAAUUUACAGUAACCAUAGAACCAUGAUAACCAAAAUCGGGUGAUACAAGGAUAUUGCAGGGGUGCGAAAAGUAUCACUCUUAGUGAAAUUCCAAUCAGUUGGAUCUGGCUGAAAAGUCCAGACAACAAGAUAUGAGCUAUCCAAGAUUUGGGCUACUCAGACAAUGGACCACUAACUGCAUGGCAUAUUAAAUACUCCACUAAAUAAUUCACAAAAUAGCAUUAUUUCCUAAGGCGGGGUUAAUUAAACUCAUCAAAAUACAAAAUAUACCCAAUUUUUUAUUAAAAAAAUUUAUUACACAGUUACCAAUUGUGUAAAUUACUGUGAAGUGCAACACAACAAGUUAAAUGAAAUAAUUCACUCUUGCAUCCAUUUCAUAUAUAUAAUUACUUUAAUAAAAUUUUCAUUGAAAUUAGAGAAUUUUGAUAAAUAUUUUAUCCUUUUUUUCAACAAAAUUUGUCUGCAAAAAGAAAUCCAAAGCCAAUUGUAAUAAAGGCUACAUCUAAACUUGACUGAUCAGUCUCUGUAUUCGAUGUUUAUUUUUUUUAUUUAAUUUUGUAAUUUGAAAGGUCAAAAUUAAAACUUUGAGAGAGAAAGCUUUAUUCCUAAUAUUUCUUUAAUUUGUAUAAUUUAUUUAUUUUUUGUUUGACGCCAUUUUUAUUUGCAUAUUUGAAUCAAUUUUUGUUUGACUACUAAAAUAAUAACCACACAAAUCAAGCAAGUUGAUUCAACAGAUCGUAAAUAAAAUUUUGAUUUCAUGUUCUUGAUUAAUGGGUUUGUAAAUAAUUGUAAUGAGUUUAUUUAAAAUUAUUAUUAACAUAGGAAAUUGAUUUUAGAAGGUUAGUUUUGGUAUUUAGGUGAAUGUGAAGAGUAUAAAUUUAAUUUUUUAAUUUUAAUAAUAAGUAUAAUAAGUAAAUGAGUUUAAAGAAUAUUAUAGUGGAUUCAAAUAAGACAUUAGCAGUUCUUAACUUACAUGCUUUCAUUCUAACAGUAUCCUUCGUCAUCAACCAUGCCCCUCUGGGAGAAAUCUUGCUGAUUGAUUCACACUUUCCCCAUCUUCCUUCCCGUUCCACCGGAAAAUUUAUUUUCAAUGCAGUGGAAUUAAUCUGAAGGGAAAAAAAAUGGUUGGGUCACAAUCAGAGAGAGAAGACAAGGUCUCAUUGGAGCUCUCUGAAGAAAUUCUUCAGAGCAUGGAAGUGGGCAUGUCUUUUAGAGAUUAUAUGGAAGAAUUAGUUCCAUGGAUUUUAAUAAAUAGUCGAGUUAUUUGGUGACUGCUAGUGAUGAUGAAUCUAUACGUCUGUAUGAUGUCACUGCUGCCACAUGUUUGAAGACAAUUAAUAGCAAAAAAUAUGGCGUGGAUCUUGUUUGUUUUACUUCUCAUCCUACAACAGUCAUAUACUCCUCAAAGAAUGGUUGGGAUGAAUCUCUACGGCUUCUUUCCUUGCACGAUAACAAGUACUCGCGUUACUUCAAAGGUCACCAUGACAGGGUUGUUUUACUUAGCCUGUGCUCAUCUAAAGAUUGCUUUAUCUCCGGUUCUCUUGAUCGAACUGUUCUGCUCUGGGAUCAACGGGCUGAGAAAUGCCAGGGUCUUUUGCGUGUUCAAGGAAGGCCUGCUGCAGCAUACGAUGAUCAAGGGCUUGUGUUUGGAGUUGCCUUUGGAAAUACAUAAGAAUGUUUGAUGCUCGCAAGUAUGAGAAGGGUCCUUUGGACAUCUUCUCUGUUGGUGGAGAUAUAUCAGAUGCUAAUGUCGUAAAGUUCAGCAAUGAUGGGAGACUUAUGCUUCUGACCACUAUGGAAGGACAUAUUCAUGUGCUUGACUCAUUCCGAGGCACACUUCUAUCCACUUAUAAUGUGAAGCCAGUUUCUCGCAAUUCCACAUUGGAGGCAUCUUUCAGCCCUGAGGGAAUGUUUGUUAUAUCAGGUUCUGGUGAUGGUAGUGUACACGCUUGGAGCGUAAGGAGUGGGAAAGAGGUUGCAAGCUGGAUGAGUUUUGAUACGGAGCCUCCUGUCAUAAAAUGGGCACCUGGAAGUCUCAUGUUUGUUACUGGGUCAUCUGAGCUAUCAUUUUGGAUUCCUGAUCUGUCUAAACUGGGAGCUUACGUUGGAAGGAACCGGGGGUGCAUGGAUUGAACUACUAAGAUGUUACGCUCUAUUGAAGCGCUUCCUAACCACCCUGGGAAAGGUUCCUUUCAGUUUGCCCUCUUCAUAUUUCUUUGGCAGGCAACAACAUGAGCAAUCACCUCAACUAUAAGGCCUCGCCUGGGCACUGCCUAGGCAGCUUUUUGAGAAAACUAGGAACUUUAUUUGUCAUUGACAUUUGUAACAUGAUAAGUUAUUGAUCGCUUUGUGUUGUGUAUAUUACCGAAAAGAGUAUUUCUAGCUUCAACCAUGAGUCCGUGAUAUCAGAAUUGAUUCUCAGAAAUUUGCCUCUUCUUUAGCAUUUUUGUUAACUCAAAGAGCCUGCUCUGGCUGGGAAAAAAGAUAAACCAUGCCCCUCUUAUCGCUCUCUCUUUUUCUCUUUUCUUUUUCUCACUUUCUAGCAUUUUUAUUUACACGCAAUAAUUUUCUCACAACCAAUUAUCAGUCUCUCAUUCCUAGUCAUUGUUACCCCACAUAUACUUCCUGAUUACCUGCUCUUUAAAACCGAAACCAAAUAAAUAAAUAAAUAAGUGCCGGACAGAAUCAAUGUGAAUAACAUUAAUACUGCGUUUAUUAAACUGGAAUCAGAAUGAGCUGAAAUCAUAAUAGAUAGGAAUGAGAAUGGGUUGAAAUGGAAAUAUGGAAUGAAAAUCAGAAUAAAUUGUUUACUUGAACUGUAAGAAUCGAAAUCGGAAUGAACUGGAUUGUCAUAAAUGUGUUUAAGUUGUCUUGAAAUCGGAAUCAGAAUAAGUUAGAUUGUAACAAAUUACUACAAAGUACUUAAUGAACUAUUGUCAUAAUUAUUAUGUUAUAUUUUAAUUAUAGUCAUUAUUCAUUCAAAAAUUAUUAUUUUUAUUAAUUAUUGUCAAUAAUAUAUUGAUAUAUCAAUUAAUUGUAAAAAUUAUUAAUUAAUUAAUUAAUUAUAAUAAUAUAAUUAUUAAUUAUUAAUAAUUAUUAUAAAUAUAUAUUAAUUAAUAAUAUUAAUAUAUUCUGCUGNNNNNNNNNNNNNNNNNNNNNNNNNNNNNNNNNNNNNNNNNNNNNNNNNNNNNNNNNNNNNNNNNNNNNNNNNNNNNNNNNNNNNNNNNNNNNNNNNNNNNNNNNNNNNNNNNNNNNNNNNNNNNNNNNNNNNNNNNNNNNNNNNNNNNNNNNNNNNNNNNNNNNNNNNNNNNNNNNNNNNNNNNNNNNNNNNNNNNNNNNNNNNNNNNNNNNNNNNNNNNNNNNNNNNNNNNNNNNNNNNNNNNNNNNNNNNNNNNNNNNNNNNNNNNNNNNNNNNNNNNNNNNNNNNNNNNNNNNNNNNNNNNNNNNNNNNNNNNNNNNNNNNNNNNNNNNNNNNNNNNNNNNNNNNNNNNNNNNNNNNNNNNNNNNNNNNNNNNNNNNNNNNNNNNNNNNNNNNNNNNNNNNNNNNNNNNNNNNNNNNNNNNNNNNNNNNNNNNNNNNNNNNNNNNNNNNNNNNNNNNNNNNNNNNNNNNNNNNNNNNNNNNNNNNNNNNNNNNNNNNNNNNNNNNNNNNNNNNNNNNNNNNNNNNNNNNNNNNNNNNNNNNNNNNNNNNNNNNNNNNNNNNNNNNNNNNNNNNNNNNNNNNNNNNNNNNNNNNNNNNNNNNNNNNNNNNNNNNNNNNNNNNNNNNNNNNNNNNNNNNNNNNNNNNNNNNNNNNNNNNNNNNNNNNNNNNNNNNNNNNNNNNNNNNNNNNNNNNNNNNNNNNNNNNNNNNNNNNNNNNNNNAGUCAAAUAAAUAUAAAAUAUUUAAAAUAAUAUAUAUUUUAUAAUUUUUUUAAUAAAAUCCGGGUUCCGGGUUUAUCAAGUGAUGCCCAAGACCGACCCGGCUUCAUACCCGGACCGGGUAUUACCCGGCCCGCAAUGCCCGGGUACGGUCCGGGUCCGGGCCGGGCGGGUAUUUUUGCCACCUCUAAAUGAGAGAUUGAUUCUCACCUCUCCCAUGGGAAUCAAUAUCUCAUUUUCCAUCUCCAAAUAAUGGUGGACCCUACGAUUCCGAUUCCUGCUCCAUUUUUACGAAGUAAAUGUUAAUUAUUCUGAUUCCCAAAUUUGUAAAGUAAACGCAGCAUGAUUCUGCAUUUAUUUUUGUUUUUUGGAAAAGUUUCUGACAACCUAUAAAGAAUCAUGCAUGACUCAAUAUUACAAACCAAUAGAAAGAAAAGAACCAUAAAUAUUAAAUUUUACGCAUGAUGUUUUGAGAAUUCAUCUUACCAAUUACCAAGAAGAAACUUUACCAAGUUCCUUAAGGAAAAGAAAAAAUAGGUUGCUAUUGUAUUCCAGAAAAAGAAAAUUGUGAAAAGAAAAAAAUUGAAAUAAUUAGUAAAGUAGUCAUUUGAUUUUUUGUUUGAAUGUUAUAUGAAUGAGGUUGAACUGAUGCAAGGUUAUAUAUAAUUUCAAGGUUUGCUUUCUUUAUUCGUGCUAAUUUCUUUGGAUUCUUAUUAAUUAAUAAGGAAUCUUCCGUUAUAAACUUUAAACUGUAAUUUAUAUUUUGAGGCAUUAUUUUUUUUUGUGUUAACUUAUGAAUUACGUCUGUUGCUUUCGUAUUAAGAUUUAUACAUAAUUUAUUAAUUAUGGUUAUUAAUUUUCAGGCAGAAUUUAGUUUUUGGUAUAUGAUUGAAUUAGAUGGUGCAAUAUAUUAAUUUUUGGUAUUUUCAUUAAUUUAAGAUUUGAAUAGCAUUUACUUUAUUUUAUUAAUUUAAGAUUUGAAUAGCAUUUACUUUAUUUUUACUGCAAUAUUUUUUUAUAUACAUUUCGGCAACCCCAAAUCAAAAUCAUGGUUCCGGCCUAGUAGUCUCACGGAAUCCCCCACCCUCAAAACAAAGAAUUCAUGAAUGUACAGUAAAAUUAUAUCGUCACCCCACUUUUAGCCAAUCGCAUGUACAAUGAGUUGAUGCCACGCUGAACCGUUCAAUUCAUCAUAUUUUUGAGUUUGGCCAAGUUUCAUAGGUAGCGAUUAAAGGAGAAGAGAUGACGAAUACGCAUGCUUUGUGCAAUUGGUAUAGGAGUUUAGAGAAACGACAAUGCUCAAAUGCCAAAUAUGUUCUAUCGCUUUAUUUUUCACAACCUGAGGAACGUGAUGCAUUAAUGAAAACUAAAUCAGCAAUGAAUAUUAUUGGGUUGAACAUUACUAUAAUCUGAUCACAAGCAAUUUUAGCAUCGAGUUUAACGUACAAAUUGCCUUCAUGUGGGGUUCUACUAGCCCCAUUCCGUACAAACCUGUGUGGGCUUAAUCCUCUUCGUCCGAGAGGAAGUUUAUACACAGUUAAUAUAACAAUGUUCUAUUAUUAUUUGUAUUUUUUUUUCAUGUUUUACACAUUGCAUUUAAUGGUAAUAUUCAUGUAUAGUUCACAUUAUAAAUAAUUUUACAAGUUGCAACAUUUACAAAAUGGACUAAAAUUUCUCGUGUGAUUAAUUGUUAAUGAAUUAAUUUGUAAGUAGUGAAGAAAUAAAUCUUAGCUAUGCAUGAGCAGUAAUAGCCACAAAACUCAAUGUCUAAAAUAUUAUAAAAUAAGCGUCUACAAAGUACAAUCAUCAACAAUUUUAUAAUAUAAUCAACUUUCCAUAUUGUAUAAACAAACAGAUAAUUUUAGGGUGUGGCCAAGUUACAUCGUAAUAGGGAUGGACCGGGUGGUCAUGGGUUGUAUUGAAUUAGGUUUUAAUUCGGUAAUGAAAAAAUCAAUCAAAUCUAACCAAAUAAGCAUGUCCAAUCCAACCCAAUUCAACAUGACAUUAUGUUUGAAUAGCUAUUAACUUCCUUUUAGUAAAGAUUUGAGUUUGACUGCUAAAUUUAGAACAUUGAAAAAUGAAUCAAUGGCAGAUUUAAUAGAGAGAAAUCGAAAAGAGCAUAUUUUAUAAAAGAAUAAAAAAAGGUUCAAAAUUAGAUUUAGCAAUUUAAAGUUUAACAAUUGACAGUUGACAUUAAUUUUUUUUAAUGAAUUAUAUUAUUAUUGGGUUGAGUGAGGUUAUGUGGGUUCAUAUUAAUGAACUCAACUCAACCCAACAUUAAGAGGAUUGAAUAAAAUUAACUUAAUUAACUCAUAUAAAUUUAACUGGUUUGAGUUGGAUUAAGGACCCAUUUGAGAUUGUUUUUGAGAGAUUUAAAAGUGAUUUUAAAAAUUUAAAAGCUAAUUUUGAUAUGUGGUAAAAAAAAAUCAAAAUCACUUUUGUUAAAUCAGUCCCUCUUACCGUUAAUUUUAAAAAGUUGGGAAGAAGUAGCUUUUAGAUUUUGAUUUUGAGAAUCAAUUUUGUCCUUUAAUAUAAUUCCAUAAAUAUUCUUACAAUUAUUGCCUAAACUCAAAAUUGUCCUUAUUUAAAUUAAAAAUAAAAUCAAUAUUUUAAUUAUUUUUAUUAUAAUUCACUCAUUCCUUUCAUUUACCCUAUUUCUUCAUUAUAUUUAACAUUACAUCAAAAGUUCUCUAUGGCAAUAUAGUCUAAAUUUUAUUUUUAGUUAAAAUUAUUAUAAUACACAAUUAAAACCAAUAUACUAUAUAUUUUAUUUUUUGUUGAAAUUAUUAUAAUACACAAUUAAAACCAAUAAACUAUAUAUUUUAUUUUUAGUUAAAAUUAUUAUAAUACACAAUUAAAACCAAUAAACUAUAUAUUUUAUUUUUAGUUAAAAUUAUUAUAAUACACAAUUAAAACCAAUAAACUAUAUAUUUUAUUUUUAGUUAAAAUUAUUAUAAUACACAAUUAAAAAUAUUGUAUGUAUAUGUUUUUAUAUGUGUAAGUAAAUUUCACCUUACAUUAUGUGCAUUUUAGUCAUUUGUUUUCUCACAAUUGUUUAACAGUAAAAUUUACCAAACAUCAAUAACUUCUUUCAAAACUCAUAAUACUUUUGAAAAUAAAUUUUACCAAACACUUAACUGAUUCUCUUUACAGCUGAUUAUUUCUACAGCACAACUAACUGUAAUUAUUUUAAAAAAUUACAACAUUCCCAAACUAACCCUAAGUUGAGUUGAGUUGAAUGGGUUAGAUUAGGUUUACCCAUCCCUACAUCACACCCAAAAACAAUAAUUCAAAAAUGAUAUCCAAACAAAUUGUAUCUGAGUUUGCAAGUGCCACUUCUGGGUUGUGUACGUGACAAUAUUGUAAUGCAAACUUAAAUUGUCCAUAGUUUUAAUAGAUUCAUCUAAAUUACUUAUAUCACAUGAAGGGACUCUAGCACUAUUUUUUCGCCUUGGAUAUAUAUGGACUUCUUUUUGUUUCCGCNNNNNNNNNNNNNNNNNNNNNNNNNNNNNNNNNNNNNNNNNNNNNNNNNNNNNNNNNNNNUUGUAAUUAAUAAGAAUUAAUUACUACAAGCAAUUUAACAUAUAUUGAAAACAUACAAACUGGAGAAUUAAAAGAAAUUACUCCAUUAGUAGAUGUGGUGAGAGCACACAUGGUUACUUGGAAAAUUUCUUUAUUGUUUAUUACAGUAAAUUUCUCUAUAGUAAUACUCUAUAUGAAAAUAACCUCUAUGUAGUCGUAAAAAAUUAUAAUCUCAAUUUGAACUAGUUAUAGAUAAGAAUAAACUUCAUAUCAUUAUAAGUUAUAAUUUUUCUAAAUCUGGUUUUAAGAAAUUUACCUCCACAUAGUAAUAAUCAUAUGCAUAUUAUAAAAUAUAUAUGCUUUGUUACAUAAAAUGUUUAGAAGAAGUGAAAUAUUUUUUCUAAAAUUAUUUGAAACAAUGAUUUAUUCUUUAGAUUUGUUACCAAAUCAUUGUAUAAUAUUUAUAGAAUUUACAUUUAGAGGAAAAUAUUAAAUAAAAAUACAAAAACAUUGAGACAUUUAAGAUGACUUGUGUAUUCCAAACGCUACAUAAAUAUAUGUACUAAUUUUUUGAAACUAUGUCUUUCUCUUUUUUCAACAUCUAUAUAUUGGAAUUGACAUUAAUUAUCAAUGUAGUCAUGUUUUAACUUUUUUUUUCUUUUUAAAAAGCUAAGGGGAGGUGGGCAAGCUAAAAUACAAUUUUUACCCCCCUUACCACCCCCAAGAAUCGAACCCAAAUUUUAGUAGAGGCUAUAACUGCACUGCAACUAACCUGACCACGCCCUUAGGGGCUAGUCAUAUUUUAACUUCAUAUUACUUGCGCUAAGGACAAUAUCGAGACAAUAGUUUUGUGACUAUAUAUCUAUUGUGCUAUCACCUCCUCAUAAUAAUAAAAUUAGUUGGUCACAAUAUUAUGACUGUAGAGAGAUUUUAUUGUAUAUCUUUCUCAAUGAAACUCAAGUGUUAUCUGUCUUACCCUGUGCCUGUCCAUUCUUGUGUGAAAAAAUACAAUGUGCAUCUUGUAGUUGUACUUGGAAAGUUCAUGGAUCUUCGUCGUUAAUUAAAGUGCGUAAUGUAGUAAUUGUGAGACUCAUCACUUGUUCUACCCGAUGAAGCUGAUCAGGCUUCUCCUCUAAAGUUUGAUCUUUUAUCUAAUUGAUACAACUCGCAAAACAACCCACUUCAGAUUUUAAAAGGGGUUGUGUACUAAUUGCCCCCGAAGCAAUCAUAACUGCUCAAACAGGAAAGAAAAAUAGCAUUUUGAUUUAUCUGCUAAUAAGCUUUUUAAACAAAAUCCAGUCACAAUUGAAAUUUGAACAAAGGACAAUUAAAAUCCAAACGGAUGUUGCUUAAGUAUAUCACUUGGGUUUUAUCUUGUUAUUAUGAUUUCAAUUCCAUGUGUGCCAAUUGCCAAAAUAUAAAUUUUUGAUAGUGUGCAUUUUAAGAAGGGAUAUCACGAGAUAAAAAGUGGGAGUUUUAUUAGAGCAAUACGUGCAUUAGAUUCCGAUUGCGUCAUAUUCGUUAACUAAAGUGAUCAUCAUGUCCUGUCAUGAGUAUUACUGAUCCAGCAUUACUUAUUCUUAAUCCAUAUUUUAUUUAUUAUAAUAUGAGAUGAGAAACACAUCUCAUCCCAUCACACAACCGUACAGGAGAUUACAAUAAGACAUUGAUUUAGUGGGCAGGGGGUUCUUUACUAAACUUAACAUUUUUACUUGUAGGUUUAGUGGUGGAUGGACCAGCAAUGCCGGCUGCGGUCCCCGGACAGCAAGUUUUGUCGACUUUAUUGCAGCAUGGGCUGUUUGCAAAGGCGGCUGUGCGGGCUGGACGAGGAUCGGCUGCUUUGAUCGCUGGACAGCAAGAGGCGUCGAGUUUGUUGCAGCAAGGAAGAUUUGCAAAGGCGGCUGUGGCUGGACGAGCAAUGCCAGCAGCGGCUGCUGGACAGCAAGUUUUGUCGACUUUAUUGCAGCAUGGGCUGUUUGCAAAGGCGGCUGUGCGGGCUGGACGAGCAUCGGAUGCUUUGAUCGCUGGACAGCAAGAGGCGUCGAGUUUGUUGCAGCAAGGAAGAUUUGCAAAGUUGGCUGUGGCUGGACGAGCAAUGCCAGCAGCGGCUGCCGGACAGCAAGUGUUGUUGACUAUGCUGCAGCAUUGGGGACCACCGGAGGACCAGGUUGGACGAUCAUCGGCAGCAGGUGUGACUGGAGCUGGACAGAAGACAGCAAAAACUAUGAAAAGGCUUAUGAGAUUGCUUAGGAUUUGGGAUGCCAUGAUAGUAGGAAGAUGAAAGAUUUCUUAAAGAGUGCUAAUUGUCUGUGGCAUUCACUGGAGAGUCUUGGUCACUACUCCUUUACUUAUAGCCGAAACAGUAAAGCAGACUUCAGAUUAAUCCUUCAUUUUACUCUAUUUUGUCAUUAGACUCGAUUAGAUAGGUGCUGCCGCGGGACUCAUCCAAUUUAAUUCGGUAGGCUUUAUUUAAAAUAAAAAAAUUAGUGGGUUUCGCAGUGUACCCACUAAACUAGUAAGUUUUUAUUAGCCAAACACAUCAUUUUAAUAUGUUGAGGUGGUGACCCCUAACCCAUGUAAGUAAUUCUCACUCUUUAAACAAUAAUAAUCAGAGAAAUCAUGUUUGGAUGGUGUGCCUACAAAAUUAAAGCUAUCACUUGGGUAGGGUUGCUGAGUCCCACUAAUUUUUAAGAAAUUAAAAAAAUUAUUGGAUAUUCAUGAAAUAAUUCUUUACAAUUCACUAUUUGGCAUAUGUAUAUUUUAAUUAAUAAUGCUAAUAUGCAUAUACGAGAAGUUAAUAGUAAAUGGAUAAAAAGCAUUGCUUCACGAACAUCAAAAACUUCCUCAAAAUUCUAUCAAUUUAAGUUGAUGGGUCUCAUUAAAGGACUCAUCUAACUUAUCUGCUUAAAAGAUAUUGAGGUAAUGCGUUUUGACCCACUAAAUUUCUCUCUCUUAUUUUUUUAAAUAAAUAAUAUAUAUACAUUUACUUUGGGCUGAAUCGCUAUAACAGUAAGAGUAAAGUUACUGGCAUCCCUUUGUUAUCCUUAUAAAACUUCACUUGAAAAUUUUAUCACUCAUAAUACUUUUUAAUAUGUAUAUACAGUAACAAUAAGAGUGCAAAAAAAAUGAAAUAUAGUACGAAACUACUUUGAGUUAUAACAAUAAAAAAAUUUAAAUAAAAUAUUUAGAGUAGUGCGUUUAAGAAAAUGAUAUUUUUGAAAAUAAAAUAACUAUAACAAAAAAAAAAGGAUUCAUGAAGAGAUUAGCUGAGUGCCAAUGGCCAAUAGUCCAACUCUAAUAGUAAAAGUCCAAUUUACAUAAAAACAAAAGGAAAAUUAAAUAGCUUAUGUUUCAUUUAGAAAAAAAAAAAAACAGCCUUUACUUCAUAAUUUGUCUUAUUGUCAUUUCGAUCGAUCCAUUAUUGCAGCCCUAAUUGCAACAGUUUCUUUUUCUGUAUAUGAAUCAUUACAGUAGAAAUAAAUCCUUAUACGACAAUAAAUUAAACAAAGAAAACGACGUGAUGAAUUGUUUUGCAAUUUAAUCUAGUUUGAGAUACAAGACAUGGCCGAUCACAUGACAAAUUUCAGUCAUGCACACUUUUAUGAAAGAAAACAAACAAUGCAUGGCUAGAGAAUAAGGGUAUGUCCCAUAAAUGUUUCUUUGGACUGAUGUAAGUAGUUUAUCAUAAAAAACUAGCCAAAUUUCCCUAAUUAGUUUCUCACAUUUACUCCAUAUUCGUGUCUCAUUUUUUUCAAUGGAAAAAGAAAUAAAAAUAAUACCAGUUGUUCCAGAUUUCUAAAAAGAGGAUAUAUGUAUGUAUGUAUACAUGUGUGUCUAUACUCAAUUUCUUAUUCGAGGAAGGGACGAGAACGAGGUGGAAUCCCCAUCCCCUACCCAUUGCCCCAUUUCCUUGUAUUCAUUUUUAAUUUUGAUUUUAUUUCUAUAAUUAUUAAUAAAUGAAUAAUGAAAUUUAAAUUAUAAAAUAUUAAAUAUCAGUAUAAAUAAAAAAUAUCAAAAUAUUUUAUACAAAUCUGUUAUAAAAAUUUUGAGCCUACUUAAUUAGUUAUAAUCCUGAAUUACUAUUCGACCAGAGUUUAUUCUAAAGGUCUUAGCUCAAAAUUAUUUUAGAUUAUGAGUCAUAUUGCUUAUAUUAUUUUAAUGUUAUUAAUAAACAUAAUUAAUGCCGUUAUUAGUUUACCAAGAGUGGCUGGACUUUGCAAACUUUCAAAGUCUAUCUGUGCAUCUAAUUAGAUGCAAUUGUUGUAAUUGAUUCACAGUUUUACAUUUUUAUAUUAUUGUUUCAGCUCACUUGUCAUUCGUCUUAGUGGUGCAGAUUGAGGGUCAUUAAGAUUUAUUUGAUUGAGGGAGAGUGAAUUUUUUUUUUUUUUUGAAAAGAAAGUAAACCUUUCAUUAAACUAAACUUUCAGCCAUAUAUAACACAUCAGCUGGGAAAUUGUUUCUCCAGAUAACAGAUUCUGAGCUACACAAAGCUCUUUUAGCUAAAAAAUGGGCAAAAUCAUUACACUUCCUUGGAACAUGUUGGAAAGAUAUCAAUUGGAGGGAGAGUGAAUUGGUGCGCCAGAUUCCGUAGUGGACCUCAAGAGGUUUUAAAAGGUUCAUAGCAUCCUCAACGCAGCUCAUGGAGCUUUGAGGAUGCUCAUGGGGAGCACAAGACAUACAACACCGUAAACAUAAAGGACAGAUAAUAUUUAUGUGGUUUGACCUAUAGUCUACAGACUAUCUCAACAACCCACCAACUAUGUAAAAUAUGAUACUAUAAAGAUUCUUUAUAUGAAAAAUGAAAAGAAAUAAUAAAAGGUCUUCCUAGUGCUUUUUCUUCGUAGUCCAUGUGGCGCUUUUAAAUUGACUUGACCAAUUUUAUCCAUCAGCAAUUAUGGUCUCCAUAAGUUUGUUACUUAUCUAUUGUCCUUGAUCAACCAAAAUCAUGAUUCGAUCGACUUCUGUUCUCAAGUGAGUUGGUGAGUAACCAACAAAUUUGCAUGUGAUUUUGUAGAGUUUCAUGGUUGCUUUUUGCGUAAGUAAAAAUCGACCCGUGAACGUGGAGAGUUUAUCUUUUACCAUUUCAGAAUUUGAUUGAAAGCAAUGGUAUCUGAAUUUUGAUUAAAUAAGAGAUAGUUGCAUACUUACAACUAACGGCUGUUCAUUAGACUCAAUAUAAAUGUUUGCUAACAAAAUCUCGUGAUCAUUUUUAAAUUUUUGAGACUUUUUGAGUUUUGAAUCUAUUUUUUCAAAGUAUUCAACUAAAAUGGUAUUUUAAAAAAAAUUAUAUUUUUGCAAUAUGUUUAAUGACAUAAAAAUUUAAAAAAAUAAUUGAAACUCAAAUGAAUUAUAAAUUUAAGACCCAUGUACGUAUUAGUGGUCUAAUUGCAGGACGUUUAUGUAAAAUUAUCACAUCUAAUACCUAAUACUAUGGGUCCCAUAUUCAUUCUUGUUGGGCCCAAUUAAUUGAUGAACUUCAGUUGAAACAUUCGAUUACCAUCAAUGCAUGCCACAUAUGCCUAUUUGCAGUCUUUUAGGUCUUGUUUAGUAUUGAGAUGCUGUAACUUUUAACUUACAACUACUAUAAAAAAAAUUAUAAUUAUGAAACAAAAGUUAAUAAUAUGUAGCAAAUAUAAAUUUUAAAUAAUAAUUUUGAUAAAAUUAGUAAAAGCAUAAUAGAUUUUCUAUCAUAUAAGUAAAAAAUCAUAUCAAUAUAGUUUCCAAUCUGCAGCAGUUAGGUGCUGUUUGUUUUUUGGUCUGAAGUCUGAAUUUAACUUUUUUUCAGACAUUUAUUUAUUUUAUGUUGUUUUUUUUAACUUAUCAUUUAUUAUUAGACAAUUUUAUAUGAGUAGAAAAAUUCCACUUUUAUCUUAAGUAUAAAGUUUAAAUGAAAAUUUUCAAUUUCAAAUCUAAAAAAUACUCUUAACAAUUCAUGUAUUUCCAAUAUUAUGUAUAAACCUAAUAUUUUUAUAUUAUUUUUGAAGUUAUUUUUUUUAAUUGCUUUAAAUUUUUAUUCACAUGAUAACAUUAACUAAACUGAAAUAUUAAACAAAUCAAAUUAUGUCCAUUGUGAUGAAUCAAAAAUAAAAUAACAGUGUUGACUUUAUAAUAAAAUUUGAUGUUAUAAUUACAUCUUUUAAUUAUAAAAUUAAACUAAGAUCAACAAUGAUAAUUUUUUUUAAUGGUACCAAACUAAUCAACAUGUGAAAUUAUAAAUUGUGAAGAACAAAUAUAUGUACCACUUAAAAGGAUAUUUAGUCAAACUAGUAGCUUUUAGGUUUUUCUUUUCAAAUGUUGAAAAAUAAAAAACAAACAUGUCAUUCAGACAUUUUUAUUUAGAUUUAUUAAGACUUUAUCUAAAUUCAGACACAUUCAAAUUUCAAAUAAAAAAAAACGGAACCUUAAUGUUUACUAAACACUUUAAUACAAUAUCUUUUAAAUUAGAGCUACCUAACUUCAAUCCCAAACAUACUCUUAAUUUGCUUGUUUAACCAUUGAAAAAAAAUUAAUAUCUAUUAAAACAAAGUGAGACAUGGUGCCUAGUUCUUCAGCAAUCUAUCAAUCAAGUAGAUGUUUUUGGAACUGCUUAUAUCACAAUUAAAAUAGAGAACCGGAUAAGUCAAUUCCAGAUUAGUCUACUAAGAACAUGGCAGUACUCACGAUAUUAAGGAGCAAAAUCAACAAUCAAGGAAAAAAAUAAAAUUUAAAAAGUCUAGCUAGUUCUAGAAAUGACAGGAUAUGAGUGAUGUUUAUUUUGUCAAUUUUCCCGUCUUGGUUCUAUUGUGAUGUUUAUUUUGUCUUAUAUUUCCUGAGUCGUUCAUUUGUAGCCAAGACUCAUUUAUUUGUGCGGAUGAUUUUGGCUGCAAAUAUAUAUAUAUAUUUUUUUGUAGCGAGUUGAUAAUCUAAUUUCCAUUCCCAAUAUCUAGAAACUCCCGAAUGUAUACUAUGAUAUAAAGAUUUUUCCCACAAACUUACAGGUGUUUAAACAAUUUAUUGAGGUGAGUUCAAUCCAAAUUACGUGCUUUUAACGAACCGAACUCAAUAACUAAUUCAGUAGAAAACAAUCCAUAAAACACAACACAGCAGAAGUUUCGAUAUAUGUGGCUCCAUAAGUCUUCAAUAAGCACAUGAACUUACUAAAUGAAUAUAUGCGAGGCAGUCCAUCAAAUCAAACGCAAUAUCUAAUUACAGAACCCAUGUACUGUUCUUUCUUAAAACUUUCUUUCGCAUACAAACAUGCAUGCAUUAAUAAAUUAAGGAGCUGGACAGCCAUCAACAGAAACUCCAGGGGCCGUAGGGCACUGUGCAAGGGGGCAAUGAUCUCCGGCAUCUAAACCCCACCAGUUAACUCCAUAAAUGUCGCUCAUCCCAAGACAUAAACUUGUUAGGAGAGACAGAAAAGCAACUCCCACAUCGAGACCAUUUGAUAACACAUAAUUGUACUUUGCCCACCAAUCUUUGUAUUUCCUAUACACUACCAAAUUGUAGACAAACCCCACUGUCACAAAAGACAAGAAACUCGUAGCACCACCUACGGCCACUGCUACUUUGCCCCCGAGUAAAUUUGAAACGUUGAUGUCUUUGAUCCAUUUUUUCUCAGGAAAAAACUUCGACAAAACCCAAACCAACAAUGGGCAAAUUAAGCCAAUCAAAAAGAAAUAGAAUAGUUUAGAGUAUAAGCCAUGAGGAUAAAACAUACGCUGCGGACCAAUCACGCCCCAAACUACAGAGGUGGAAUAGGCAUUAUUCUUUGAAGGACAUGUCCAUGGACUGCCCUUGGGUAAAUUUUUGGGGUCGCAGAUAUGCUCAACAGCUGACAGCAGCCACCAUGAUGUUGCAAAUCCAACAACGGAUGAGACGAAUGUUCCAAUUAUUUGUGCCACAAACAUUGACUUAGGAGCAAUCUUCAUGUAGUGGGCCAAUUUUAACUCGCUGAUGAACGCAAGAGCAAAAUCCUCUGCGGUCACACUGUACGCUUUGAAUACCAUGUUAGCUAUUGGCUUGCCAGGGUAUAUGUACCCUACCAGCAUUUCUGAAAUAAGGUUCAACGAUAUAUACUGCAUGAAAUUAAAUUGGAAGUAAUGAUUAGUUGAUGACACACAAUUGAGCCUGAUUUAUACACACACACACACACACACACAUUUAGAGCAGUAAAGAGUUGAAUAUCAAUUACUUAGAUAGAUGGCUUAUUAAGUAAUUAAUUACUUGGCCGGUUGUAGCUUGCAGUACUCCAAGUGGGAGAACAAAAAUCAAGAUCAAAAGACAUGAAAACAAGAUGCCCCAGUAAGGAAGUUGCAACUGAUCCCCAAACGCUUCACAAGAUAAAAUUGCCAAACCGACUGCUGUGAUCAAUAUUGCUAAGUACCAACACUGAGGAACUGGUUUGUACUUCUUCAUUAGCCUAUUGUGGACAUCUUCAGUGCUGUUGUUGCUGCUAACAUAUGCUUGCUUAAAUUGUUGCCAUGCAUCUCUACGAAAAUUAAAAGGAAAUUAAUUAUUUAAUUUCUGCAAUUAAUGUAAAUGAGAACAUAUUUACAAGGCAUUCUUUGUUAAACUCAUGAAGUUUGAAAUUUUAUUAGUUUCAAAUUUUUUUUAAUUUUCUUAUUUUUUUUUAAAUCUUAUGUCUAAUUUUUAGAUAUUUGCUUCUAAAUAUUAAAAAAAAAACAAGUUUUAAUGACUUUUAUUUAAAUGGAAAAUAUCCGAAGUAAAUAUUAUAUUAUAAAAUAUCUCUAAAUGAGAUCAAGCAUACGUUACCGUCCAUAAAAAGCUAUAAAAUGACUGAGCGAGGCUGUGACAGCGGCAAAUUCGAAUCCAAGUGCAAAUAGGUACACAACACUUAAGUACAAAUUUGAGUAACCUUGAUAUGCUUUUGAGUUGAACGUAAGAUCGGUGUCCUUGACAACUUUGGAGACGUUAUAAAGAUGACCAUAUUUGUCAAAAAGUCGGGUAGAGGAAAAUGGAAAAUGCCUGGCAUUGUUAGAAUUAGUGAAAUAAGCGAUUGGCGUGAUGAUGUAGAGGAAGAAGAUGAAUCCAGUUGUCAUAUUAAUGAUUGUAGACAAGGGGUAAACUAAUGGAUUCCCCGAGUAAGCCGCUAUGGCAUUCCAGUCCAAGGCAAAUGAACCAAUGCCAAAGCCAUUUCGACCAGAACCAAUAAGUUGAGCUGUCACUGAAUCUUUCCACAACCAACAAACAACUGAGAGCGCACCCAAAGAAGGAAAGAAAUAGCCUGGUACGAUUGCAUAAGCAAAACUUGUGACGGCUGCCAAUAUAAAAAACUGAAAUUUCGUAAUCCCUCUUUGAGGCCUCGAUUUCAUGACUUCAUGUAUUGACCUGAAAGCGUGCAUGAGAACAACACUAGCUUACAAAGUAAAAGAAGCCUCCAAAAACCUAACACCCAUUAAUUUGUUCACUUUGAGAAAUAAUUUAUGUCCAUUGAAGGUGUACAUGGAAUAUAAGCCCGUAGAAACAUGCUAAAGAAUGCACAUGUCGUAUAUAUCAUAAGAAUUUCUGAUUCAGUGCAUAUAUAAGUGAUUGAGCGAAUGUAAAUACAAAAAAAUACGUACCUGUAGAGAAAUACGUCAACUAAAGUGAAAGGAUACCACAUGUAUGGAUUAUUUACCAAGAACUUCAUAAAUAUUCCUGCAAACCCAUAACCUAGCAUCUGCGAGAUAGAUUCAUAUAGAUAGCUAGCCAGUGAUUAAUUUUGAAAUAAACAAUACAUAAAACAUCAAAAUUAAGAAUGACUAUGGGCAUGCAAUUAGAAUUUAGAAUUAAUUACCUGACUUGUCAGAGUCAGCAGUAACCCUACCCAGAAAUUCAAAUAUUUGUGAUAAAAGACUUUCCUGACCGUCAAUAUUGUAGCACUGGAAGGAACACUUAAUCCUGAUGUAGCCAAAACACAAAGAAGUACAUGUUCUUUAAUGUUGAAGGGCCCGGGAUUCAUGGAGAAGGUCCAAUUUGUUCCCGGAACUUUCAAAAGUGUAGAUGGAAGCGUUGAUGCCAUCAAUUUUCCGAGACCCAAAAGCAGUAUUUGGAUGCAAGUAGUUGAGAGCCCGAUAGGGUUUUGACGAUAGCUAAAGAAUUCUUUCACAAAAGCUAGAACCAUGCAAGUAAUUGGUCCUAUGGCCCACGUUCGAAAUGUUAAUGUGGGGAGAGUCGGGUCGUCGGUAAUAGGGAUUGUAAGUCUCACUUGUUCUAUCGGCGAAUCAUUAAUUUCAUCCUCUGUGGCGUGUCAUUAGAUUAGUAGUACCCAUAGCAUAUUGAUUUCUCUUGUAUAUGAAAAUUAAACAGAUUAUAGAAAAACGCCAUCAUUUACACAGAAAACUAGCUAUAUUAAAUUUCUAUGUAUCUAAUUAAAAAACAAAAGCAAACCGUAUAUAUUCAUAUAUAUAUAUAUGCACUAGUAAUUCAAUGAAAACCAUUUUGAUGAGUUUUCAAACAAAUAAUUAUUGAUAGAGAAGAUACCUUCACCGCUUUGAAUUUUCUUGUUCUCCAUGACUAAACCCAUUCUCUCAGGGAAGAGGAAGAUAACCCGAUUCUCUAUGUUUUUCUCGUUUUAGAUCAUAUAUAACAAAUUCAAAUUUAGAAAAAUUCUUGCUAACUUGUUAAUACUAUCACAGCAUUCCUUUUUUUUUUUUUUCCUUUUCCUUUUCCUUUCAACAGACGUAUGUGCAACUAAAAAUUUUUAUGGAAAGUAUGCGUGGGAAAUUUGAAUACCUUAAAUAUAAUUAUUUAGAAAAAUACGCACACAAAGAUUUUAUCAAUGGAACUAGCUGGCACCCACUAUUUUGUUUACUUUCUAAUAUACGAAAUCAAGAGUAAAAGGAAUUUGCCGAAAAUUAAAAAUGAAAAACAAUUAAAUUGCUAAUCAUGUACCGAGAUAUUAUACUAAUAAAUGCUAAUUACUAAUUAGAAUGCAAAUGAAGAGGCGUAAAAUAUGAAUAACUGAAUUAGAAUGAAAAUUGGUGAGGCGUUACUUGCAAUAUCUGCCCACCAACAAUAGUAAUUAAUUGGAGCUCGAAAUGUGAUUGACAGCAAGGAAAGUUUCGAAUUGAUUGUGGGGAUAGAAUCCUCUCAAAUUAAGAAUAAAUCAGGAGUAGUCAGCGGUGCUGUUAAGUGCUAACAGUCUAACGCCUUAUAAGUUUUAAUAUAUAUGCUCGUUUACAGUACUAGAAAACCCAAAUUUUUUUUAAAAAAAUUACCUAAUCCAUUAACAAUAAGUACAAACCAAACGGUUUAUAUAUUACAAAUUCAAGUUUAACUUUUAAUACUUGUCAAAUCGACCCGAAAUGCCACCCUUAAUUCAUAACUGUACAUUUUAAUUUUUUAAUUUAUUUAUAUUCCACAUUGUUCUUAUCUUUUAUUUUAACUUGGUAUAUUUAUUUCUCAAACUUUUAUUUACUGAUGAUUCAGAAAACAUCAUUUCCUUCUUUAAAUCAGAAACAUCAAUGGUUAAGUAGGAGUGCGAAAAUUAUUCAAAGUUCUUGAAGGUGGACAUUUUAUUUUCAAACCAAAUUAGAGGAUAAAAUCAAUUAAUAUGUAUCAGUAAAAUGAAAUUACAUUUUAAAUAAAAAGGUAUUAUGUUGAAAGUUUGCGAGUCAUUAUGUCCUUCUUAAAAAUAGUAAGGGCCUUAAUUUUAUUUGUUAAACACAUUUAUCUGUUUUUUAACUUAUAACGUGCAACGCACAAGGAGAAUAUUUUGCUUCCUUUUUAGAAUGUUAAUUGUUGUAAUUGGGCUGUCAUGUUCUCGUGAAAUGGGCCACCAUUUAUUGCUGAUAUUUUCAACCAAAAGAAUAGUCCUUUAGAUAGGAGAUUUAAAACUCGGGUAAUUUUCAGAAAUCUUUCCUGAGAUUUGAUAUAAUUUCACUUAGAUGGUGAGUUUAAUUGUAUUUUCAUUUAUCUCCUCUGCUGUUAGUAUACAUACGGUUUGACCAUUAGUUGACUUGUAAAAUUACUAGAAUAUCCAAACCACUUAAACAAAGCCUAAGAUUUGGCGCCAACAACUUCAAACGAGUGCUUUUACCAAUGAGUGUGUUUAUGGGCAAAAAUAGGGUACCAUACAUUUACCUCCUCUUCUCUCCAAAUUCAACCUAGGUCUUGACUUUUUCGACAACAAUCGACGGUGGGUGGACGGGCUUUUGACAACAAAUUGAUCUCCAGCAGCGCGUGGCACUACCUCUGCCAAUUUUGGCCGUAAUAUUUCUGCCAAGUUACCGGUAAUCUUGGCUGUGCUUAUAUUGCAAACUCCUUUUGUUUCUCAUUUUAACAAAAUAAAAAAUAAAAAAAUCAUCAUGUUCAUGUGUUUUUUUUUUUGGUGAGAAGGUCUAUCUCUAGUACGAAUGAAUCUCUCUCUUGUUUCCCCAUCACCUUUCUCUCUCUGGAAAGGUUUUUUCCUCAUUCCAUUAUUUUUUAAAAAACAUGUAGAAACAAGAGCAGUUAAGUAAAAUACACACAUAUAUUGUUGUUUGUAAUUUAUAAUAUAAAGUAAUAAAAUAUUAUUUUCGUAUUUCAUAUAUAAAUAAAUGAAUAUUAUGACACAAAAAACAGAAACGGUUUGCUCUCCCCAUUUUGGCCGGAUUUUCCAGAAUAAGUUGCAGCUCUUUGUACUAUGACUCUCCUCCAUCUAUAUAUUCUACACACAUUACACAAUACUUGCUUCCCCCCAUUCUCCAUUAAUCAAUUAAUUUAUAUGUUUUUAAUUUUACAGGAAAGGAACAAACAUUUUCUCAAGCCCAUCUACUCUCUUAAUUAAUUACUACUAUAAGUACUCAAUAUUUAGAUUAAAAAGUUGGAUUCAACCCAUCUCCUUCUUUCUUUUAUAUAAAUCAUUUUUCUUUUUCUUUUUUAACCAUAUUUAUUUAUACCGAAAUAAAAUGAUGUUGAUAGCUAGAUGAGUGUAAGAUUGAUUAUAGAUGAGUAUUAGGAUUGAUUGUUGUGUAAAUAUAAAAAAACGGUUUAAUUAAAUUGGUAGGUAAAAAAUGACACAUGAGGUGUUCGACAAAAUGCCUAUUACGGUUUGUUUGUCUCAUUUUAAGUAGAUUAGGUAUAAUGGCACAUUGAUGGGAAGACAAAUUUUGUAAGCUCAUCAUGUAGCACGAAAAAUCUGCGAGAAAGGGCUUAAAAAGCCAUUUACGAAUUCUGCUGGUUGCACGCAUGACGGGUGUUGAAACGCACACGCGAUGAGCUCUCGUCUCAUUCGCGUUUCAGCGCCCAUCGCGCGCGCAACAAGCACAAUAAUGCGCGUGCGAUGAGAAGCAGUCAUUGCGCGGGCUUUGCUUCGUUGUCGCGUGUGCCCCAUUUUACGUGGCCAUUGCGCGCGUGACAUGCGGCCAUUUAUUUUUAAUUUUUUAUUCAAGUUUCUUCUAAAAGAACACGCGGUGAUGGAUUUUAUUGGUAGUAUUUUUAUUUGGCGCAUGCAAUUGGUCUGUAAUGUUGUGCGACAAGUUCUUAUCUCCCGUGCGACAAGCUUGUCAUACAAAAUUGCCCUCGAAGAUGUUUAUGUGUUUAUUUGUAAUAUUUUGAGCUAUGAUUUUGAUUAAUGAAUAAAAAAUUGGAUUUACAUAUAUAAUGGCCAAAAAGCCGCGGUCUAAGCAUAAUCCACCCGAUCCAAGAAAGGAACCAGACAUGAUGAAGAUUCCGGCAUCGAAACAUUUCCCCGGGCAUAUUACAAAUACCUCUAAAUUUGGAAAUGUCAUGGAAGCCAUCAAGAGGAAGUUGACGAGACAACAAUUAAGCUUAUUGAAGAAAGACAUUUUUGGCCAGUUCACAAAAAUGGAUGCCUAUGUCUUCAGUGGUGCAAUUGUGCACAACGCAUUAUACCAGGUUGAACACCUACAUUGAUGGCCGAAAGACACGAAAUCAAAACUGUUUGCAGACAUUGAUAUGGUGUGUGUUUCUACAUGGUUCAAUAUAGUUCUGAUAAUAAUAAUUUCAAGAUUUUAUGAUAUCUUAACAUUGGAUAGGAAUUCUUAUCGCCAUCUACAGGUUUUAAUUCUAAUUAACUUGGAAGACAACCAUUGGGUUUUAGCCCGGGUAGACUUCCGGCGCAAGCAGAUCUCUAUCUAUGACUCAAUGAAGCAGUUUCGCGAGGACAAAACGUAUGGUCAGCUAUUGAAGCCACUUCAAGUUAUCUUUCCCCAAUGGCUGGAAGAUGUUGGGUUUUACGACAUCCGGCCAAACUUACAUAGUGCGGAACCCUGAAAACUGGUAAGCGUUGAUGACGUACCUCAACAACAACCCGAAAGCGGCGAUUGUGGAUUGUUUAUGUUAAUGUUUACGAUGUACUUAAUGUUCAAGCUACAAUUUAAUUUUGACAGUUGGCAUGGACAAUAUUUUAGGAGGAAGAUUGCCAUUGACAUAUUUAACGGUGAUAUUAUGUUAUAAAUGAUAUAUUAAUCUUUUAUAUUAAUUAUUGAAUCUUGUGUCGACCGAACUUCCAUUCAUAUAUUUAAGAUUGUUAUUAUGUCUGUUUUGAUACCUUGUGUUAAUGAGUUGAUUGUUGCUUGGUGAGAAUCAUGAGUUGCCUUCUUUUUUGUAAUUUCAUUGAGAUGUUGGUCGGUGAGAAUCUGUGUUGUGUUAUAGGUUGAUAGUAGCUUGUGUCAAAUAUUGGUGGUUUGGUUUUUAUAGCAAAAUUGAAUCCCUUGCUGGUGGAGACUGGAAUGGUUUAUUACUGAGAGAAGUAAAUUAUAUUUUUGUAGUUUUUGAUUUCACCUCCAGACAAACAUCCUGUAAUUUGGGGAGACAACAUUUAUCUCCUGUGUGACAUGUUGUUGUCUCCCCAAAUUACAGCAUGCUUGGCUCGAAAUUAAAGAAACAAACAUUCUGUAAUUUGGGGAGACAAGCAUUGUCGCACGGGAGAUAACAUCUUGUCUUCCCAAAUUAUAGAAUGCUUGUUUCUGUAAUUUGGGGAGACAACAACAUGUCACACGGGAGAUAAAUGUUAUCUCCUCAAAUUACAGGAUGUUUGCGUGUAGGUGAAAUAAAAAACUACACCAAUAUAAUUUACUUCUCUCAGCAACAGACUAAAAUUGAAUCUAUCAAGUUGUUUGUCACCCAACCGACAACACAAAUAACAAACAUUUUAAUUUGUGCUGAGACCUAAAAAACGUUAAUAUUAAUUAAUUGAAUUGGAAAAUAACACUAAUAAGAAUGACACCAUCACUUAAAUAACAGUCACAUGUGUAUUUCUGCAGCUUACAGUUGGUCACAAUCACAAUUUGACUGAAUUUGAUCAGCCUAUACAUCUAGUAGUCGCCCAUAUACACAAAAAGAAUAAAAAUAAUAACUACACUAACAGUGUGCCAUGAUAGAUAGCUGCGUUAUACUUUAUACAUGGCAUUGUCACUGUGUUAAUAUCACAUUUAUACAAAAUAUACAAAAAUCUUCUGUACAUUCAUCUGCAAAGACAUCUCUAUCGUCAUUUGUUGCCAUCAUCCCAACAAAAUCUUCUAUUGCCGUCACUUGCUCAAUGUGAACCUCAUCAUUCAAAUCAGGGAGAGCAAACUCAUUCUCAUCCGCUAAGUCAAAGCAGUCCAUUUCAAUUGACCUUUCGUCUCUAUCAUAUGUGAACAAGCACACGUUAAUAAGUGAAAGUAAAGUAAUAAUUAUGAAUAAUAAUAAUAAUAACAUUGCUAAACAACAACAACAGCAGUUACAAUAAUAAAGAAAAAAUGAUAAUAGUAAUACAUUUUAAUGUUUUUCAUGUCACAUGCAUGUCAGAUAACAAAUAAAAACUGAGUACGUGCGACAAAAAAUGUCCACGGGAGACAACACUUGUCGCCUAAAAAUAUAAAAUGUCUGCAUGUGAGACAAGAGCAUGUCACUGCACAAAAUACAAAAACAUUGUUUCACUUGUCGCCAAAAAUCUUAUUUGUUGCAUAAAAAAACAGAAAUUGUGUUCGUGCAACCAAAAAACUGUCGCACGAGAGACAUACAGUUGUUGUCCAAAAACACAGAAUGUAUGUGCGACAAAAAUAUAUCGCCGCACAACAGACAAAAAUAGUGUUUUUGUGCAACAAGACUUGUCCCUCGUGCAACAAUUUUGUCACCUAAAAACACAAAAACUCAAUACGGGCGACAUCAGUUCAUUGCACAUGCGACAACAUUGUCACCCAAAAACACAGUCUGUAUUAGUGCGAUAAGGUCUUGUCGCAUGGGAGACAAACUUGUCACCCAAAAACGCAGAAACUGUGUUUCUGCGACAUGCGCACACAAACACUGCAAAUUCAUAAACAUAUCAACUUAAGCAAACUUUGGCGGGAAAAAUAAAAAUUACAGCUAAGACUACUUCUAUUUUACACACCCAUUUGAAUAACAAUAACAAAUUUUUGGCUUUAUAGCCUUAUUACGCUAUGUAUAGUGUAAAUCACAAACAUAAAAUAACUAAUAAUUAAAUUUUUUCAACUCAUGGCCACAUAUGGCUAAACUCAUUCUCCUUUUAAUCAAUUUUUCCACCACCAACCCAUGAACAAGACAAAUCAAACACAACCAACAACCACUUAUAAAACUCCAAAAACAAGAAAAUCAAAGGCAUUUAAAAAUUUUAGACUUUGAUAAAAUAACUAACCUCUUACAAACUCCAAUAACAGUGGCAUAUCCCCGCCGCCGUCGAUCGUCACUGGUUGUUGGCCUUCUCCGACCACCCAUAUUUGUCUUCUUCGUGGGUUAUAUAUGCUCUUUGUGUUUAUUCGAUGGCCUUAUCCGACCACCUAUAUUUUUCUUCUUAAUGGGUUAUGUAUACUCUUGAUGUGUAUUUCUUUUUGUUCCAGCAAAUGAGAGUAGGUGAGUGCAGUGAAAAUUGUGAGAGAAUGUCAUCCAUUGCUUUUUUGUGCUGGGGAAAGAGAAGAGAAAGAGAAAUGCACUCUUUUACACAAUGGAUAUUGUGUCUAAUCGGUUAAUACAAUUGUCCAAUAAAUUUUAAACCAUUUUUUUAUUGUUAUUUGAUUUUUUUUAUAAUUUCACCUUAUCUUUUACAUAUUUGCCCUCGUCAACUAACGGUCAAACUGUAUGUAUACUAACGGCAUGGGAGGUAAGUGAGAAUACAAUCAAACUCGCCAUCUAAGUGAAAUUAUAUCAAACCUCAGGGGAGGUUUCUGAAAAUUGCCCUUUAAAACUCUUAUAUUUAGUAAAGUGAUAUUAGAGUCAAAUUUUGAUAGUCGAAAUGUGGUGGUAGAACAAUUUAGAUGUGUCUGAAAAGUUUUAGAUCCGACGGUGGUUUCGUCCAAACGGAGAUUGUUGAAUUGCGUCCUACAUUAACUUGUUAAAGGAAGUCAACUAGGUUUAUAAGUACAAUAAAUCCCUCUAUCUAAUAGGUUAAUUUUUUUGAGAGAAAUACCUAAAUAUCUUGGACCUAGUCCCCAACCUCUAGUAUCAGAGCCUGAGCCUGAGCCUGAGCCUGGACUUUAAGGGUUUUACCAAAAUAUACCAACUUUUGGGCAGAAUUGCUAAUGAUUCUAGCAGGUAGUCCAAUCGUCAAUUUUCAAAUUAAUUGUAAAUCUAGUAAACAAAUUAAAUUCAUACUCAAUGCAUAUCUGCAGUUGCGUGGUUACGUGUUUCGAGGGAACUUUUAUGAAAUUUUUGGUAAAUAAUCCUUAUAUUUGGUAUCCUUACACCUUACUUGAUGUAGCUACCUUUCUAACAGGUUUUCUCGAUCGUGACUCUCCAUACAUAAUAGAAAUAUUGAGGUCAAUGCACUAUUACAAGGAAACUAAUUACAACAAGCAAGCAGGUGUGGUUUUGACAUUCCGGUCAGUGCACAAAGUAGAAAGUGGAGCAAAGGCCCAAAGCGGGGUUGACAAAGUUUCAACGCUUUACGGUGGCAACAGUCGCAGGCUUUGCCUAUGCAGUCAUAAAUACCAGGCUAUUUCUUUCCUUCAGUAGGUGCUUGUUUUGUUGGUUUCGGAAAAAACUCCGUCAUAGCUCAGCUAAUUGGUUCUGGCCGCACUAGCUUUGGCAUUGCCUUGGUUUCGCCUGGAAUGCAAUAUCUCGUUACAUGGGAAACAAUGCUAGGCAUUUUCCGUUUUCUUCUUUCGACAUUUACGAUAAAAGUGGCCAAAACAAAAGUUCUCAAUGAGAAUGACCUUACAUUCAAUCGGAAAGAGUAUCAAAGCUACUCAAAUUUAUGUACAACUGCUACUCUCCCAUUAAUGGUUGGGUUUGAAUUUGUGGGUAUUACAGGUAUUAUCACUCAUUUUGUCGUUUUCCAUGCGAGGUACACAAUGGCACUUAUUGGCACAAUGCUUGAUUUCUCGACUGACUUAAUUCCCAUUUGCAUUUCUGCACUAAAAGGAUCAAUAAAUUUAAUGCAGUAGAUAUCUUGUCUACGGAGGCAUGGCAUAUUUGACUUCAGAACUAAGUUCAUCAUAUAUCUUGCCUAGUCCAUUCCAGUAAAAAUUUGCUUCUAGAUUGUACUUACAAAUAAACCUCCUAAGUUGAGAACUUGUGAAUGGGUGAAUCAGCCCAGUCAUCCUUUUGCCUUAGCAGUUUUGUUUGAUGCAUAUCUACAACAUCCUCUUAUCAACAAGCUAAUUAGAAAAUGAUAUUCAAGUUAGUAAUCCUCCUACUACAAGUCCACAAUGGCCUGAGAUUAACAAUACUUGAUACUUUCUUCAUGUAAAUGCAGUCUAUAAAGCUUUUUCAUGAUGCCCUCAUAGAGGAACCCUGCAAGAGACUUAUCAAUCAACUUAAAGACAGAGGAUCCUUAAGGAGUUCACAGGGCACUGACUAAUCUCAAAGCACAAGCAUCAGCCAUUGAUCCAUCCAAGUAAACUAUCUUAUCCUAACCUUAAAAGAUUGAUCAACAAAAUAGUCAUAUAUUUAAUAAUAAAAAAACCAAUCUUUGGGUCAAUAAUGUAGCUAUCAGAAGCAAUAAUGUGGAAAAAGACAUAGGUAGAGGAAUCUAUUUUCAAGUCAGAGACCAAUAUCUUUUAUUAAUUAAGGCAAAAUUGAACUUUACAUCUAAAAGAGUACAAAGGCUCAGUGUCUGCUAAAGCAUUUUCAGCUAUGUUAAGAUCAGAAAAGGCAAAUUAAUCUACAAAAUGCAGUAACAGAAAGUAAUGAAGGCUGCAAUGCCACUUAAGAUACAAAGUCUGUCUAACCUGCUUUCACUUCUCAUCUUCUCCUCUUUUAACUCGCUUUGAACUUUUGAGUAUAAAUGACAUGACUCAAGAACUUCACUAUAGUUUUUGCUCCGAUGGCAGCUCAAGGCCUCCUUGAGAAUGAGCAAACUGUUUCUUCCAUUAACAUGAGCACCUUCCAUGUCUUCCAACUGCAUGCUCAGCUCAGUCAACUUGAGAGUUGUCUGUACACCCUCCUCCUCAGUAUGAACAACUCUGAACUUCAUACUUAGUAUGCAUUCUACCACUUGACAUGGAAGAAUAUCUUUGGCAGGAAGAACAGAUCCAAAGCGUAUCACAAAAUCCUUGUCUGUUGGCCAAUGUCGUUGGCCCCCAAGAGGGCUCCAGCUAGCUAGAUUAGCAGCUUGCUUCAUCUUUUUGUUUACAACAAUCCAACUGAGCCGUAGUCCAUCACGAAGCUCUUUCCACAGCUUUCCAUCUUUUCUCUCUUUUUCCAUGGAGAAAAUUGGAGGAAGACCAUCAGAAACCGAAAGGGUUACUUCACCUUCACCAUCAUCAUCUCUAGCUGCAUAGGUGGUCAGAAUAUCAAUUCUAAAUGGGCAGUUAUAAAACCAACCAUUAAAUCCAUUAGCAUUUGGGAUGCCCCAUAGAACCUUUGAACAUAUGGCUUUAUCUUUAUAUCUGAUAUCUACAAUAGAAACAAAAUCUGAUGGCGAAAUAGUUUCAAAUUCAUCCAUAUCACCAUAGUAUUCAGCUUCAGUCCAUUCUUCUGGGUACUCAAGAUAUUUAUUCCAGUGAUACUCGCUGACUUCCUUGUUAACUAUUAGAGGAAAACAAUCUGCAUAGAACUUUCUAAAUCCACCAAUUGAAGCUAUCAAACUUUUGACAUCCUCCCUAUUGGUUGAAGGCCACAUAGAAGAACAUACAUUUUCCCACAAUCUCUCUUCUCUUGAUAUGGAACAAAAUGCAGCACAAGUACAUGCUGCAGUAGCCAAAGUUGGGCCAUCGAGACGCCUCAAUAUGUCAUAAAAGAGAUCGGUGCUCAAUGAUGCUGUACUCUCAACUGAUGCAACUGAUGUAGCCAUAGACCUCUGAUCCACCAAGUCAAAUAAUAUGCAAUCAGGUCAAUAAGUAAUAUUGAUAUAGAAUAAUAAAUAGCUCAGCAAGUGAAGACAAAAGCAUUCUGGAAUAAGAAAAAAGAUAGAGAAAGGUAGAAAGAAACAAAUAAGGAAGGACAAUAGUCAAUUAAGAAUUGCAGGUCUUGCAACAAAAAUUCAGUACAGGUAUAGUUUGUUAUUAGUGCAAAGUCUUCACUAACUCUCCUUAAACUACACAAAACCUGCAACUCUUCCAUCUCAACAAUGGAGCGAAGAGAAAAUAAUAAUAAUAAUACUAAUAAGUCUUGUUGAGCAACAAUCAUUACAAGCAUAUGUUUCCCAACUGCCUAAAAUAGUAUACCAUUUCCAACUUCUCUGCCUCCCCAACAAAUACAGGGCCAUCUAAUUCGUCCAAGAAUUCCUGCAUCAACCAUUUUCCUGUUUUUAAGGGCCUAUACCACUUUUUUUCCUUCAGUUUGGGACUAUUAUACACUUAAAUCUGUUAGGUAAACGACAGAUUCAGUUCAAGAAAUUGGUUCUCCCUGAACCCUUUUGAAAUAACAGAAAAUCAAGAGAGGUACCGAUUGCCACGCCCAAACAAGGAGCAAUUGGCUCAAGAAAUUGAGAGUAAUAUCAGCGACUCACAACAUGACAGGUGAUUGAUGACCACCUGGAAACUUUGAUGACCUAAAUGCUUGUAAUUAGUAACUGACACUCAUCCCACCACCCACGCACACAGCACAGAUAAACAAGCACAAAACUCUGCAGAUUCGGGCGAGGAGAAAAUAGAGAGGCAGACAGAUAAUAAUGCCAGAAACAAAUACUGCCGGUGAUGCCUUAAAUAACGCGUAUUCAGGAGUUACCAUAUUCAAUAUAUUGUGUGGAAUCAUCUUUUAAAUAAAUCAUACAAUACUACACUGAAAAUUCACAAAUGCAGCGGCUUCUCGAAAUGAAAAACCAUUUAAGAUCAAUCAACAAAUGAAUCAAGCACAUAAAACAAACGCAAAUGACCCAGUACAGAAGAUCAAACUUCCAUAAAAACCGUCUAAUUAAUGCAUCACUAAUCCAUUCAAGUUGUGAGCAUACAAAUUAUGAAAUCUCAAAACCCAAAAAAAAAAAAAAAAAAAAGGGGCCAUAAACGCUAGGCAAUAAGUUCACUGACCUCAAAAAUUAACCCGGCAAACCCAGAUGGAUCAGAUGACAAAUCCAAUCUUUUAAAGAAAGCAAGUCGGACAAAAACGGUUUUUGGGUCACUUUCUGAUCUAAUCAACUGAUUUUUGUUUAAUUAUGGAAAUUUCCUCGGCUGCCGUGCCAUGUCUGUAUUAUUGUGUGAAUCAUGGUUUUUUUUUUAUUUUGGGUUGCUAUCCGAUGUGAAUUUGAUUAUAUUUUCUUCAUUGAUUUUUAAGUAGACUGUAUUUCCUCGUCAGAGGAUAUCAUAUACACACAUUAACCUACGAUUUGGACCCACCACGUUUAUUUGUCUAUUUUUUUUUAAUUGGAUGUUGACAAAAUUAAGACAUUUUCAAAGAAACUUAAUUCCAAAUUUAAUCAUUAUAAUAAGAAAACCAGGAACAAGCUACCGUUACUUGAUUCCAUUUCCUGCCACGAAUACAAUGAACAGUUUUUUUUUUCUUUUUUUAGUAACUUUUAAAUUUUAGUCUAAUUUGCCUACUUAUUUUAUAUUUUAAUUAUUAAAUCAUAUUAUAAUGUAUGUAUGUAUGUAUGGUCGUUGGUUGCAUUAAGAGACCAAUAUGUAUAUAUAUUAAUUAUUAAGGGGAUUUGAAAUUGAAAUGAAAAAAAUAAAUAAAUAAGCAAAUCUAUGGCACAUUGCGGGGAAGAUGUUUGUGAAAACGCCAGGCCACUGGUAAUCGCUUGUCGGUGAGGGAUAAAGCUCAGUACCAACCAAUCAAGAAAAUAGAACAUCAUUUAAGAUUUCACGUGCUUGUUUUUGUACUUGAAAGGAGCACAUUCACCCUUACCAAGAAUUUGCGUUGCCUGCCUUGACCUGAGGAAGGGGCUGCAAUUGCAAUGCAAGCCAAGUAACAUUCAAAUUAAGGUAAAGAAAAGAAAGGCAAAAGAGGUAAUCAAUUAAAAAACCAAAAAAUAAAUAAAAUUAGACUUCGUGAUCAAGUCAUGUGAUCUGCUUUGAUUGAUUUCAUGGACUAAAAAGUAAGCAAAGAACGGAAAGCUUUAGUUGACCUAACAAGAGCCAAGAAGGUGUUAAAAUUAUAUCGGAUGGUAUGUUAUUGUAAAUGGUUGAAACUGCCUUAUCAUAUCAAAUUUUACAGCAAUUGAAACAAAUUGAAUUAGACUUUUUUUUCAAAUUGAGGUGCUAUAAAUUUCAGUUAGUUGUAGAAAAAAAUUGAAAGUAUAAAAUAAAAAUUAAUAAUAUGUAAUAAAUAUAAAUUUUAAAUAAUAAUUUUGAUAAAAUUAUUAAAAAUAUAAAAAAUUAUAUUAUAUAAAUAAAAAAUUAUAUCAACAUAAUUUUUAAAUUAUAAAUUUAAUACUGUAAUUAUAAUUUUUAAAUUAUAACUGCACCCGUAAUCAUCGAAGGACAAAACGAUUGUGUUGUACCCUCCUAAAUAUUAUAUGUAUAAUAUCCAUGGCCAUGGAAGUGAAGUGGAAACGGGGUAUUGGAGCAGCGCACGAGGUGGGGCCUACUGCUCGAAAAUGACAACGCCUCAGGGGUAUCAAUAUUAUACGUGGGGUUGCACUUGCACUAGAGGUGGUAAAAAUACCCGCUCGAUCCGGACCCGAAUCGUAUCCGGGUGUUGUGGGCUGAGUAUUAUCCGGUCCGGGUAUGAAGUCGGAUCGGUCUUGAGCAUCACUUGAUAAAUUCAAAACUCGAAUUUUAUAUAAAAUCCGGGUACCCGAAUUAAAACCCAACCCGGACCCGGACCCGGACCGGUUGUAUCCGGGCAGGGUCCGGUCAUGGCAAUACCCGGACCCGGCCCGGGGUUUUGCCAUCUCUAACUUGCACCCACUAGUAGCAAAGAUGCGUCGGGUCAUCAUUUUAUUGGCAAUUACAGUAAGAAGAAUCCCUUGGAAAUAUAUACUUUUUGUAUGUUUUUCUUCCGUCUUUUUAAUUGUAUGUGUGUUCGUCAUGAACAAAACAGGAUUCAAACUUAGAUUCAUAAAUAAUGAUACAAUAAAAGCAACAAAUGAUUCACGUACUACUGCGAGAGAGAGAGAGAGAUUAAUUGACGACCCAUAAAUUCAAAAGUUUCUGAUUAAUCAUAAUCAUAACAGAAUUAACAUUGAACAUAGAGAGUUUAUAUAGCUUCAGUAUGGAAGGGGAGGUAGGAACUCAACUGCUAAAGCUGAAUAGAGAGAGUAAUUGAAAGGAAACACAUCGCUUGGAUACUAAUAAUCUAAUAAAUUUGACCUUUUAAGCCUCGGAUGGUUCGUCCUUGACUUUGUCCUUGUCUUUGUCGUCGGCGGCAUCAUCGGAUUCAGAGGAAGCUUCGUUGCUUCCUUCAACGGCGUCGUCGGGAUCGCGAGCAGGAUCGGAUUUGUCCAUGGCGGCUCGAACCUUGUCGAGGAACGGCUUCAAAGCCAACUCAAUAGCCAGCCACCCAAACGCUAGAGCACCAACAACGGUCAGCGCUUUCUUCAUCUUCUCCACACCCCUCCUUUCCUUAAACUGCGCUGCUUCUAUUUCUAUCUCUAUGCCACUAGUUAGCUAUCAAUUUUGUCUUCAUUUUCUAGGUCAAAUUACAACAAAGGGUAUUUUAAUUUUGUCUUCGUUUUCUAGGUCAAAUUACAACAAGGGUAUUUUUCCCCCUUUCUUGCGUAUUUGGAAAGGAAGCAAUACACUAAUUCCCCCUCCCUCCGCCUCCGGUUUAAAAUUCGAAAAUUCGGUCCCCCUUUGUUUGCCUUUUACCUUUAGCCCUAUUUUCCUCUUGGGCUCUGCUAAUUACGAUCACAUUAUCAUUAAUUACCAGUGUUGUAUUAAAGGAUUUAGCUUUAGUGCUGCAUUGAAUUUUUUAUUAAUCUUGUAGAAAUAUAUAAUUACUAAUUAUUGAAUAAGAAUAUAAUAAAAUACAAUUAGUAAUUAUUAAAUAAGAAUACAAAACUAAUUAAAACUUAGCAGCAUAUUACUGUACGUGCAAGUGUUAUAGAAGAUCAUAAAAAAUUGAACGCAACUCAACAUUUGGACCUAGAUCCUAAAUCCUAUAUUAAAAUAUAAGAAUUUCU